GCGGGUUCGACGGCGCGGAGUACCUGGACCUCGUCGAAGUAUACCAACCCGGCCCUCGCGACGCGAAGAUCGGCUCGCUAGCGGCGUUGGGGACGUGGCACACCGCGCGGCCGUUAUCCAGCGGGCGCAGCACGCUCGGGUUGGCCGCGUGCGACGGCGUCUUGUACGCGAUCGGAGGUUUCGCGGCGCCGAAUUAUCUCUCAGGCGCGUUCUCCUUACACUGGUUCCCAUACGACCCCGUCGGCGUGGUGAACGCCGAUCCUUAAGGACUUUUCCCGGCGCAUCUCUACGCCCACCCCUCGCUUUCAGUCCCCGCCCUCGGCGCCUUUCAACUCUAUCUGACGCCUAUGAACUCCACCCCGACAUCGCUUUGUAUGGAACGCACCUCAGUCGUCGAGGCGUACGAUCCGAACGCGGACCAGUGGUGGGGCGUGAAGCCGCUGCCCGCGCCCCGGCGCGACCACGGCGUCGCGGGGAUCGAGCACCGGCGCUGCGUCGUCGCCGCGGGCGGGUACGACGGGCAGAGGUACCUGGGCGACGUGGACGUGUUCGACCCGCGCGCGAAUCGGUGGACGUCGGCGGCGCCGCUUCGCACGCCGCGGCAGCUCCACGGGAUCGCGUCCGCGGGCGACGAGGUGUACGUCGUGGGCGGGUUCGACGGGAAGGAGGGGCUGCGGAGCGUGGAGGUGUACGACAUGCGGGCGGACCGGUGGAAGGAGCUGGCGCCGAUGAGCGGCGUCAGGUUCGGAGUCGGCGUCGCGGCGUUCUAGUCGUGAAUCGACGGACGCGACAUUAUUCCUCUCCUUCUCCGUUCGAACUCAACGUUCUUCGAGUCUGUUCGAGAUCGCGUUUUCCGUCCAUCGCACUGCACAUCGUCGCCAGAUUCUCGCGCGCGCGGGCCCCCCCCCGCUCGCGCCGCGUCGUCGAUGCCCGGGCCGGUGAUGUCGUUCGCCCUCGGGCUCGGGCUCGGCGUCGGCGUCCGCGUCCACGUCGCGUCGCGGCGGCGCGAGAAGAAGCGAACCCGCCGCGGUGGUCGGUCGUCGCGCGACGCCGCAGUCGACGCGGUCCCGUCCGCGCGCGUCGACGACGCGCUGCGACGCGCGUCGCUCAUGGCGAUGCGACGCCGCCCGACGCCGCGCAACUACCGCGUCACGGCGCCGACCGCGGCGUUGGAAUCCUCCUCGGACGCCGCGGACGCGGACGCGGACGCGGAGACGACCCCCGCGCCGCCGCCGCCGCCGCCGCCGUACGCGUCGCUCUCCGUCCCCGUGUACAGCCUCGCGACCGCGCCCACCUCCCCCGCGGGCGACAGCGCGGGCGUCGCGUCCAUGAACAUCACGACCUACGCGUGUCCGGUGACGAUAAAGCCGUCGCGGCGGAUGGCGGUCGCGCUGUACACGCACACGGCGACCGCGCGCAACAUGCUCGCGACCGGGCGCGGCGUGCUUCAGGUGCUGAGGAAGCGUCACGCGCCGCUCGUGGAGCUGCUCGGGAAGCGCAGCGCGCACGACUGCGACAAGAUGAAGGCGCUGCGAGACGACUUCGGGAUCGCGGUCGUGGAGCGGUACGGCGUGCGCACCAUCGCGGACGUCGCGGGCGUGAUGGAGCUGAAGAUCGUGUCGAUCGAGCACGCGGGGGAUCACCACCUCGCGCUGUGCGACGUCGGGGAGUACGAGAGCUUCGAGGGCGACGGGGAGGUGCUGUACACGGGGGACCUGCCGAAGGCGUCGUGAGGCUCGAGGCGAGUAGGAUGCGCGCGGUCGCACUGUUAACUUCUUCGACUUUUUACUGUAAAAGAAUGAGAUGCGCUCUCCAGACGUCACCUCAAACGUCGCGGCGCGGUCUCGCUCGACGCGUCGUCAUGGCGCGCGUCGUCUCGAAGCGCCCGCGCGACCGAUCUCUGUUCGCCUCCCCGCUCGCGGAGUGCGCGGACCCCACGAGCUUCCUCCUCCUCUGCGCCGCGGUGUUUUGCAUCUUCGCCGAUCAAAACCUGCUCGCCCCGAACCUCUCCGCGAUCGCGGACGACCUCGGGUUCGACGAGCGCGAGCGCGACGCGAAGCUCGGCGGACAAAUCUCCGUCGCAUUCUUCCUCCUCGGCCUCCCCGCGUGCCUCGUCAUCGGCGUGCUGACCGACGUCGCGCGUCGCAAAGACCUGCUCGUGAUGACCGUCGUCCUCGGUCAGGGGCCGUGCGCGCUCGCGGGGUUCGUGACGUCGUUUUGGCAGCUCUUCGUCCUUCGCGCGCUGACCGGCGUCGCCGUCGGCGGCGCGCUCCCGCUCGCGUUCUCCAUCGCGGGCGACCUGUUCCCGCCCACGGCGCGAUCGCACGCGUCCGGGACGGUCGGCCUCGUCAUGCACGCGGGCGUGAUCUUUGGGCAGGGCGUGAGCGGGUACGCGGGUCCGAUUUUCGGGUGGCGCGCGCCGUUCGUCCUCGUCGCGAUCCCGGGGCUGUGCGUCGCGUGGUUGGUGGAUAAAUACGCGGUGGAACCGAGGCGCGGGGGCAGCGACGGCGGAGGCGCGAGCCCGAGCGCGAGUCCGGGCGGCGGCGGCGUGGAUGAUAAGAAGAUGGGUAGUAACGGUACAGAUGCGGGCGUUACGACGUCGUUCUUCGCGUCGGACGCGACGUCGACGCGGGAGACGGCGACGCGACUGGCGAGGGAGUGGAUCCGGAAGUCCGCGAACGUGUGGCGGCGACGGACGAACGCGCUUGGGUUCACGCAGGGGAUCCCCGGGACGGUGCCGUGGAGCGUGAUCAACGUCUUCAUGAACGAUUACCUCGCGAAUGAGAAGGGGUUAGGCGUGCAGCUGGCGACGACGCUCAUGAUGACGUUUUCGGCGGGUUGCGCGUUCGGGACGAUACUCGGGGGGUGGCUCGGGCAACGGCUGUACAACGAGCGCGGGUGGUACAUGACCGCCGCGAUGGGCGCCUUCGCGGUCGCGGGCAUCUUUCCGUGGCUUUAUCUGAUCGAGUCGAACGACUACGCGCCGUUCGACGCGCGAAGGUUCGGGUUCAAGCUGAUCGUGGCGUUCGUCGGAGGGAACCUCGCGGCGGUCACGGGCGUCAACGUGCGCGCGAUGGCGGUCAACGUGAACCCGCCGUACGAGCGCGGGACCGCGUUCUCGUGGUUCAACCUGACGGACGACCUCGGGAAAGGGUUCGGGCCGGUCAUGUCCGCGGCGUUGAUCGCGUGGCUUGGACGCGAGGCCGCGUUUAAGCUCGGGAUUUGUUUCUGGUUGCCGUGCGGCGUCAUGUGCGCGGCGUGCGGAUGGAGCAUGAGGUGCGUCGUACUUCCGGAAGUACUUCCAUACAGUAUAGACUACACCGCAGUCACACGUUUUUCACCCAUCCCCCGGUUUCAACAGUACGCGCACGCGUACGUCGCAGAUCGCGACCCCUUUCGACUGACCGAAGAACGUCGCCCUCCAUCGUCAGCGCGGACGAGGCGAGGACGAAGGCGGAGGUUGAGCUGUACGGACCCGCGGGGGAUCGCGAGCUCGACUUCGAGGCGAGGGUGCCGUUGAUGGGCGCCGGCGUCGGCGGGUCCCCGCUCGGGAAGCUCGUCUAGCGAGCGCGCGAGAGUGAUACCCUAGACGACUAUAUGUAGUAUCGCGCGGUGUCGUGCGAGUCUUUGUCGCGUCGCAUUCGAUGCGCGUUUCAUUCAGGGUCGUUCUAUACAAGCGAACGGUGGGGUGGAGUUCAAAGGCGUCAGUAGGAGUUCAAAGGCAUCUAGGGCGGGGAUUGAAACCGAGGGGUGGGCGGAGAGAUGCGCCGGCAAAAGUCCUUAAGGAUCGGCGUUCACCACGCGAACGCGGUCGUAUGGGGACCAGUGUAUAGAACGCACCUCAUUCAUCCUUCGGCGCGGAGCGCUCCGUCUUCGUCUCUUCUCUCGUUCGUUCCUUUCUUCGUCUCUCGUUUCGUUCGUCUCUUUCGUCGUCGCGUCGUCGUCGCGCUCACGCCGCCCACGCGCCGAGCCCCGCGCCUUCCUCCACCAUGCGCUUCAGAUCGUCCCCCGCUUUCUCGCACCGCGGCGACCCCGGCUGCCGCUCGUCCGCCCCCGCGCCCUCCUCCACCUGGAUCGACCGCCACGCCGGCGCUUCUCCCUCCGCCGUCUGCGUCGUUAGGGUCGUUCCGUACGAGCGAACGUCGGGGUGGAGUUCAGGGGUGCGUCAGAUGGAGUUGAAAGGCGUCGAGGCGUGUCGGGAUUGAAAAAAACGAGGGGUGGGCGGAGAGAAACGCCGGGAAAAGUCCUCAAGGAUCGGCGUGCGCCGCGCCGACGCGGUCGUAUGGGGACCAGUGUAUAUAUAGAACGCGCCUGCAUCGCCGCGGACGCGCGUCGGUACGCCGCGCCCGGCCGAAGCCUCAGCGUGAUCGGAAGCCGCUCGAACCACUCGCGCUCGGACCCUCUCAACCCGCUCAGCUGCGCGGGUCCCGGGACGACGUAGCAGUCCGAGAGCUUCCACCGCUCGCGUCGUCGCGCGAACGCCCGGAACGCGUCGCCGUCGACGUCCACGACGCGCUUGCGAAUCACGAGCCGGUCGCAUCCGAAGCGUCGCUCCGGCGCCAUCAACCGAGCGAGCGGCACGCCCCAGAGAUCCCAGCGUUUCGGGUCGUCCCAAGGGUUGGUCACCGCGGCGACGACGCCGCGCGCGCCGCCGACGGCGAGCGUCGCCGCGGCGUAUCUAUACGAGCGAACGUCGGGGUGGAGUUGAAAGGCGUCAGUUGGAGUUGAAAGGCGUCGAGGUCGGGGAUUGAAAGCGAGGUGUGGGCGGAGAGAAACGCCGGGCAAAGUCCUUAAGGAUCGGCGUUCACCACGCCGACGCGGUCGUAUGGGGACCAGUGUACAGAACGCACCCGAGCGCGUACGCGUACGUCGCGUCGAAGUCCGUGGGCAGCCCCGCGCGUCCCUCGUACCCGCAAAAGUGCGUCCGGGAUUCGAAACGCGCGAGCGCCGCCGGGUGCCGCGCGGCGAGCUUGGCGCGCACGAGCUCGGCGACGAGCGACUCCGUCUCGAUCGCGCUGAGCGACGGGUUGCCGUGCGAAUCCCUCGCGAGGAGCAGCUGCGAGAGGAUCGCGUCCGGGAUCUGCGCCGCGGCUUCUCUCGACGCGCGCGACAGCCGCGCGCGGACGUCGGAGUUCUCGAGCUGAUCCGGCGCGGCGCGGCGACGCUCGGCCCAGACGAUCGCCUCGCUCUCCGUGGAGUGCUCCGGCGGUCGCGGCGGCGACCCGACCUCGGACAUGAGGUCCUCGAGCUCUCGCAUCAGCGCGCUCGUCUCCGGGCAGAACGAGAGGAGGCCCUCGGGGAGAAGGACGACGCCGUGGUGUAAGCUGCGGGCGGCGGGCGACGGGAUGCGAUUGGUCAGCGAAUGAUCUGAUUCGAUGACGUGUCAUAUCGUGUGGCGGGUAACGAACGAACCGACGUACCCGGAGGCGGCGCGCGCGGCGACGACGUCUGCGAUUUCAUCCGCGACGUCCGAAAGGCUCCGACCGUUCGCCUCGAUCUCCUCGCCGAUGAACGAGAGGUUCGGCUGGCACUGCAGCGCGCACUCCAGCGUGAGGUGGCUCGCGCUUCGUCCCAUGACGCGGACGAAGUGCCAGUACUUCCGCGCGCUUCGCGCGUCCGAACACACGUUGCCGAUGAUCUCCGAGAACACUUUGGGUCGUUCCAUACGAGCGAACGUCGGGGUGGAGUUCAAAGGCGUCAGGUGGAGUUGAAAGGCGCCGAGGGCGGGGAUUGAAAGCGAGGGGUGGGCGGAGAGAUGCGCCGGGAAAAGUCCUUAAGGAUCGGCGUUCACCACGCCGACGGGGUCGUAUGGGAACCAGUGUACAGAACUUACCUUUGGAGGCGCUGUCGAAGCCGAAGCACGCCUCGACGCCGCCGCCGCGCAUGUCGUCGUCGAUCGUCUUCGGGACGCCGACGACCGCGCACUCGACGUCGUUCUCCGCGAACGCCUCCGCGAGGUACGCCGCGUUCGUGCACGAGUCGUCGCCGCCGAUGACGAGGAGGCCGUCCAACGCGAGGUCGGUCACCGUCGCCGCCGCCGCCGCGAAAUGCGCUUCGCUCGAGAGCUUCAUUCGCCCGCUCCCGAGGAGGUCGAACCCGCCCAUGUUCACGUGCUUGGACAUGAGCGACGGCGUGAUCGGCGUCCAUCGCUUCUCGAGCAGCCCGCGCGGGCCGCCGACGAAGCCGACGAGACCGCCGGUGAAGCCGUCGGUGAAGCCGUCGAGAUCGCGCGCGCGCGGCCUAGGCCCCGGCGGCGCGGGCUGCCCCACCCGGCUUUUUCUUCGGGGGCCGCCCGCGCCGCCGCGCGCGGCGCGAAGCCGCGCGAGGCAGUCGAGCGCGCCCGCGACCGCGUUGUGCCCGCCCGGCGCGGGCCCGCCGCUGAAGAGCACGCCGAUGCGCGCCCCGGAGACGGUGUCGUCCUCGACCGGGCGCAGGCGUUCGGUCGCGAGCGACGCCUCGAGCGGGGACGCCGACGCGUCGCGCGCGAGCACCUGAAACGCGUGGCACGCGGCCGCGUGCGGGAACGGCCCGCGGAGGCCGUCGCGGUCCGCGAGGUCGACGACGCGCGCGGGCCCGAGCGCGGCGGCGAGCCGGUGCGUGUGCGCGCUGGGCUCGCGCGAGCCCGCGCGGUCGACGCCGUCGCGCGGGGGCGAGGAGCCGGGCGCGGGCGAGGGGCGAGGCUCGGGGGAGGGGGAGCGCGAGCGCGCCGAGCGCGCGCGGUCGCGGUCGUCGUCGACGGUGUACCGGAGCAAACGCGCGUCCGUCGCGAGCGAGGCUGGGAGGGUGGGGCGAUACGCCAGGCGCGCGCGCUGGAGGGGGGAGACGUCAGCGUCCAUGGCGUCGCGGGGGGAGCGGCGCGCGCGCGCGUCGUCGUUGUCGUGGUUUCUGUUCGGCGAAGAGAACUCGAACGCAGCGUGCAGUGAUGACUGGACUGAGCUUCUCCACGUCCGAGAGAGAACAGACUAAGGACCGGACCGCCGUCACCGCCUUCCGCCGGCUACACCUUCCCCCACUCGUCCUCGAGCUUGCCGUUACUCCACCGCCCGUCCACGCGCACGCCGCCUUGCUCCGUGAGAUCCAACACCCCCGGCCCGCACGGCACGCCGUCGCGCCACAUCCCCUCGAACAUCCCGCCGUUGGCGUACCGCAGCCGCCCUCGUCCGUCGGGCACGCCCGCGCGCCAUCGCCCUUCGUACCAAUCCCCGCCGGGGUACACCUGCUUCCCCUCGCCCUCUUGCUUCCCGCCGACCCACUCCCCCUCGUACACGCACGCGCCGUUGAACUCCACGCGAACGACCGGCGCGCGCCACCCGCCGCGGUCCUUAUCGAGGACGCUCAUCAGUCGGUUUCUGACGAACGGGUCGUCUUUUUCGACGUCGUCGUCGUCGCCGCCGCCGCGGCCGAAUCCGAACAGCCCGCGCUUCUUCUUCUUCUUCUUCUUCGGCUCUCCCGCGUCCUCCUCCGCCGCGUCCGCGUCCGGGUCGUCGUCGUACGCGACGUUCGUGAUGUCGCGGUACGCCACGACGUUCCCGUCGGCGUCUUCCUCCAUCUCAAGAAUUCUAACCGCCGGCGCGACGUUCGAGAUGGUCGCCGGUAACGGCACGUGCACCGCGCGCUUCGGUCGACCGGAGACGGAAAGCGCGGGGGCUCCUUCCCUCGCCGCCGCCGCCGCGGACACCGCGGACGCGGACGACGCGGUCGUGGAGAGCACCGGUUGCUCCGCCGGCGACCGCCGCUCCGUCUCCGCCGCCGCCGCCGCCGCCGCCAACGCGGAUGCGGCGGCGGCUUCAGACGCCCUCGCCGCCUCGAGCGCCGCCGCCGCCUCCGCGGCGACUUUCGCCGCGGCCGCCGCGAACGGAUCCGGAUCGUCGCCCCCCGCAUCGAUCGCGGGCGCGGCCUUCGCCACCGGCGCGGGGACGACGUCCGCGACGUCUUCCGGGUCGGGCAUCGGAGGUUUCGCGACCUCCGGAGCCACCGCGAAGGUUUCGCGCGUCGCGGGUCGCAGCGCGCUCACCGCGUCCUUCAGCGCGGCGACGCGACCGGCGGCGGCGUCGACGCGCGCCUGACGCGCUGCGAUGUCCGCGUCUGAAGCGGAAGCGUCGGAGGAGGCGAGAAGCCCGAGCUUUCGCAUCGCCUCGGCGGUCUGCUCCGCCUCGGCGGUCUGCUCCGCCGCCGCCGGCGCGCCGUUCCGUAUCCCCGUCGUCCCCGGCACGGACGGAAACGGCGCCGCGGUCCUCUCCUCCCCUCCUCUCCCGCCCCCGGGACCCCUCCUGUUCGCCUUCGGAACGAACGCCUCGCUCGGCGGCGACACCACCAUGAUCGUCGCCUCGAUCCAAUCCCUCGCCGCGCGCGCCGGGUCCUCCGGCGCGCUGUACGUCAUGAUCUGCGACGAGGCCAUUCCAUACAAAACAGUGCACCGGUCAGUUGAAAGACAAUGCGAUCAAAUGUCGAAACCGAGCGACGGGUGAAAAACGUUUGUAUAGAACGCACCUGAGGCGUCGCCGCGCCCGCGACGUCCGCGAGCGCGCGGCUCGCCGCGGCGCGCGCCGCCGGCGACAACCUCCGCCCCGCGCGAAUCGCGCACGUCGCGAACUGCGCGCUCGCGAAGACGUCGUUCGUCAGAAACGGCGACUCCUCCGCCGCGCGCUUCACCGCGGAAGACACCGCCGCCGCCUCCGCGUCGUCCAGCGCGACGCGCGACGCGCCCAACUCCAAGACCGCGGCGCCGUGGCCGACGACCGCGGCGCCGCAGCCGCGCUCGGCGCCCACCGCUCGCCCCGUCAUCGCGUCUCGAAACGCCUGAGGGUCGAGGGGCCAUGCGGAGCGACGUCGGUCGGGGUGGAGUUGAAAGGUGUCAGAAGCGGAGUUGAAAGGCGUCGCGGUGUGUCGGGAUCGAGACCGAGCGGCGGGCGAAGAAGUCCUUAGUAAGAAACGGCGCGCGCCGCGCCGACGCGGUCGUGUGGGAACCAGUGUAAGAUAGAAGAACGCGCCUGCGUCGCGAGCGACUCCGUCCACGCGCUCGUGUUCUCCGCGCCCCCGAACCCUCGCGCGCCGACCCACGCGGGCGACGCGAACGACUCGAGCGUCGUCCAGACGCUCCACGCGAGCGCGGUGUCGCAGUACCGCGUCGCUUCCGUCACGGUGAGCGCGUCGCCGCCGGCGGAGACGCUGAACGUCGUUCCGUGCGAGCGAAGAACGUCGGGGUGGACUUGAAAGGCGUCAGAAGUGAAGUUGAAAGGCGUCGAGGGUGGGUAUUGAAAGCGAGGGGCGGGCGGAGAGAAGCGCCGGCAAAAGUCCUUAAGGAUCGGCGUUCACCACGCCGACGCGGUCGUACGGGGACCGGCGUGGUAAUAGGACGCGCCUGAACGUCGUGAGCGAUUGCUGCGGCACGACGACGAGGAGGUCCGCCUCUCGCUGCGCCUUCUCCAGGAAGUCCGCGGCGGCCGCGCUCUUCCGCGGGCCUUCGAAGUCGAACGGGCACGUCACCGCGAGGACGAGAAGUGGCCCCGCGUGCGUCAUCGCCGCCGGCCCCGCGAGGCCGUUGAACCCGACUUUGAAGCCGAACUGCUUCCGGAAGCCGCGCUCUUUGAGCUCCGCGAGCGCGACGAUCGUUUGGAGACCCGCGCCGGAGGCUUCGUUCGCGGACGCGACGACGACGAUCACGUCCGGCGGGACGCGCCCGCUCCCGCCCGCGAGAAUCUCGCGCGCGGCGGCUUCCGCGUUAUCGCGCGCCGCGCGCCCGGAGACGUCCACGUUGGACGGAGGCAGGCGCCAUCGGUUCGCGCACGCGCUCGCCUGGAGCGACACGGGGUCGGAGUUCAGCGCCCAGUACUCCGCGCGCUCGAGCGGGCCGCCGAGCGCGAGCGCGUCGACGACGACGCCGCCGCGCGUGCCGAGGCCGACGAGCGCGACGUUCGCGGCGGAGGCGGACGCGCGCGUGACGAUACGCGGGCGGGCUUCUUCGGACGGCUUCUUCUUCUUCGCGAAACCGCGCGAAGAUCGCGGCGACGCGACGACGCGCGCGCGGAGGGCGCGCGGCCGCGACGAUCGCGACGACAGCGCGAUCGCUCGCGACGCGGAGGACGACGCCGGCGCGACGCCGACGGCGGCGUUGGGCGCGCGCAUCGCGAGAGGGCCGCGGCCGCGUGCGACGACGCGACGGACGACGCGCGCGCGCUUCUCGGUUUAAACGACGCCCAUCAGCUGAGGAGCGUAAUAGACGAGUUCUACACAAACGUUUUUCACCCACCGCUCGGUUUCAACAUUUGAUCGCAUCUCCUUUCAACUGACCGAUGAAUAUAUUUUAUCGCUUCUACGAAUAUUUUUCUCUGCUCACUCCUCAUCGCGCAGCACCACGUACCCGCGCGCGCUGCCGCACUCGCUGCAAAACUUGGCGUCCCCGUCCUUAAACCGCGCGCCGCAGCGCCCGCAGAACGGCUGCGGCUCCGCGUCGACGCCCACCGGCGCCGCGACGCUUCGAUCCGCCCCCCAAGCCCGCCGCGCCCGCCCUCCCUCCGUCAUCGCGUUCGCGACGUCCCGAACGUCCGCCCCGAGCGCGACGCGCGCCAUCCCGAACCCCUCCCUCGCGCCCUCGCGCGCAUUCACCGGCGACGCGUCCGCGAAGGCCACCUCGCGCACGCCGCGCACGCCGUACGGCGCGCGCACCGCGUAGAGCCCGCCGCCGUCCGGCCCGCGCGUCGUGACGAAGAUGGUGUCCAGCCCGCCGCCGCCGAACGUGAUGGACGUCGGCGACUUCACGGGAAGCUCGAUCUCGUGAUCCACGACGCCGUCGCGGUUCACGCGCACGCACUUGGACGCGCCGGAGAGCGCGAUCCACAGGCAGCCGUCGGCGUCGCACUGCGCGCCGUCGGGGACGCCGUCGAGCUCGUUCGGCAUCUCGUACACGAGCUUUCGAGUGCCCGGCGCCGGACCGUUCGCGGGGUCGUACUGAGGGUCGUUCCAUACAAAGCGACGUCGGGGUGGAGUUCAUUGGCGUCAGUUGGAGUUGAAAGGCGUCGAGGGCGGGGAUUGAAAGCGAGGGGUGGGCGGAGAGAUGCGCCGGGAAAAGUCCUUAAGGAACGACGUCCACCACGCCGACGCGGUCGUAUGGGGACCAGUGUGAGAAGAACGCACCUGAAACGCGUACACCGCGCGCGUCGGGGAAUCGCAGAAGAACAUGAUCUUCCCGUCGGGCGUGAAACACGUCGCGUUGCUCACGCGGAUCUUAUAGUCGAGCACCUCCGUCAGCGCGCGCGGGGACUCCGCAGCGAGUCGAUACACGCCGCCGAUGGCGCCGCCGUCGCCGCGGUGGUUGCCGUUGUACGACCCCACGAUCAAGUUGCCGCGGCGAUCCGUCCGCGCGUCGUUCGGCCGCGUGUUCAACCCCGGCUCGAACGCGCACAGCGGCUCGAUGACGCGCGUCCUCGGGUCGUACGCGCAUAUCCCGCUGACGUCCAAACCGAGGAGUAACCCCCCGCCGCGUUUCAGCGCGACGAAGCCGACGACCUCGCCGAUCUCGUGCUUAGGGUCGUUCCAUACGAGCGAACGUCGGGGUGGAGUUGAAAGGCGUCAGAAGUGGAGUUGAAAGGCGUCGAGGGCGGGCGUUGAAACCGAGGGGUGCGCGGAGAGAUGCGCCGGGAAGUAUUUGUCCUUAAGGAACGGCGUUCACCACGCCAACGCGGUCGUAUGGGGACCAGUAUGAAACUAGAACGCACCUUGACGGGCGCGCCGGACGCGCCGACGUUCCACGACCACACCGCCUUCCCCGGGGCGUCGACCCAAUACAGCGUCUCCGUCUCCGCGUCCCACACCGGGCUCUCGCCGAGCUCGUUGCGACACGUCACCACCUCCGUCGCCCACAGCUUUGUCGGGCCGGACGGCGCGUCGUCGAAUCCGAAGAUUCGAGAAAAGUGAUCCGCGUUGAGAGACGCGCCGCCGACGAGGCACCCGUCGACGUCCGGGCAACGCAUGAGCUCAUCCACGCUGUCCGGCUUGACGCUCCCGCCGUACUGAAUCCGCGUCGCCGCCGCGGCCAUAGGCCCGUGCGCGUCCUCGAUCCAGCCGCGAAUGAACGCGUGGACGCUCUGCGCGAUGGCCGGCGUCGCGGUGAGGCCCGUGCCGAUGGCCCACACGGGUUCGUACGCGAUGACAAUCUUUCCUCGCUCCAGCUCUUCCGUCGACACGUCGCGCAGCGCGCCGUGGAGCUGCGUCGCGCAGACGUCCCUCACGAGCCCGGCGUCGUACUGCGCCUUGCUCUCGCCGACGCAGAUCACGGGCGCGAGCCCGGCGUCGAGGAUCGCGCGCGUCUUGUCGCCGACGAGCACGUCCGUCUCGUGGAAUAAUUCUCUGCGCUCCGAGUGCCCGACGAGCGCGAAGUCGCAUCCGACGCUGACAGCUUGCGCGAGCGACAUCUCGCCUGUGAACGCGCCCGAUGGCUCGUGCGAGACGUUCUGCGCGCCGAGCUUCACGCUGCUGCCGGCGAGGACGGCCGCGACCGCGGGGAGGAACGGCGCGGGCGGGCACACGAGGACGUCGCACCCGCGCGUCGCGGAUCCGCCCUGCGCGCGGUCCGCGGCGGCGACGAGCGCGGCGAGGGAUUCCGCCUCCCUGAGCGUCUUCGGGUUCAUCUUCCAGUUGCCCGCCAUGAGCGGCGUACGCGCGCGAGGUUGGCGAUUUGAGGGCAGGAGCGUCUCCAGGCUCGCGAUCGUCGCCGCGUCGACCGCGCGGGCGACGACGGUCGUCGUCGUCUUCGCAUUAUUAUCGUCUCGACGAACGCCGCGACGUUUAGAAUGAUGAGGUCCGAAGACGCGCGGCGCCGAGGCGGCGGCGGGGAGCGCGCCGCGACGCGCGCUCGCGAUGGACGCGCGGUGGUAGCAUCGCGACGAUAACGCCGCGGAGGGCGCGGCGGCGACGGUCAUCGUUUCCGGUCCGUCGCGGGCGCGCGCGCGAGUGAUGGCGGCCGCGGGGAUUCUGGAUAACCGCAGCGAACGAACCACGCGCUGAGCUGAGUUGUCGGCGUUUCCGUCACCACUCUGUGAGAACGAAGUCGCGAGACGCCAACUCGAGACGCCUACCGCGACCGCGACGGUCGUCAUGAAACGCUAUCUCUACGCGCGGCCGACCCCGGGAAGGGGCGACCGCGUCGUCGCUAUCCUCUAGUCCGCCACCGCGGGCGCGGGCGCGCGCGCGGACGCGCCCCGGGUGGGACGCCUCCCCGACGCCCUCUCCUCCUCCUCCUCCUCCUCCCUCGACGUCGUCGAAAACGAAAACGCCUCCUCCAUCUCGAGCUUCAGGGCCGUUCUAUACGAGCGAACGUCGGGGUGGAGUUCAAAGGCGUCAGUCGGAGUUGAAAGGCGUCGAGGGCGGGGAUUGAAACCGAGGGGUGGGCGGAGAGAAACGCCGGGCAAAGUCCUUAAGGAUCGGCGUCCACCUCGCCAACGCGGUCGUAUGGGGACCAGUGUGUAGAACGCACCUCAGCGCGUCUCGAAAAUCCCGCGUCGUCUCGAAGCCCAAAACCUCCUUCGCGCGGCACGUGCUCGCGAGCGUCGCGCGCAGGUCGUUGACGCGCGGCGCCGCCGCGACGCGUUCGCCGCCCACCAUGUCCGCGAGCGCGCUCACGCUCAGCGCGGUCCCGCUGCCGACGUUGACGCUGAGACCGUUCGCCGCCGGCGUCUGCGCGGCGAGCGCGAAGGCGCGCGCUACGUCCGACACGUGCACGAAAUCCCGCGAUUGCGAGCCGUCGCCUAGAAGAUAGAUGCGAUCGAUGAUGCGAGACGUGGAGGGGGGACGCGAUUGGUUAGUAUACUCGCAUGCCGUGAUCAGAGUAUUCGAUGACGUGGCAAUGUGUGUGGUCGAAAACGAAACGCGCCUUCGACGCGCAGCGGCUCCCCGCGUCGUUUCAUCGCCAAAAACUUCCCCGUCACCGUCGCGUACUCCCCGUCCGUCGGCUGCCGCGGCCCGUACACCAUGAAUAGCCGCAACGACGUCGUGGGGAGGCCGUAGAACGCGUCGUACAGCGCGCACAGCUCCUCGCCCAUGUGCUUCGUGAGCGCGUACGGCGACGACGCGGCCUCCCCCGAGGAAAACGGAAUCGUCUCCUCGUGCGGGACGGACGCGUGCCCUGCGGACAGAGCGGAGGACGACGAUUGGUUCGUCAGCGCGCUGACGUGGCACAUCGAGCGGUCGUGGAUGGAUGAAGAAAUAAAUAAAAUAGGAUCCGAUGCAGGCAGGCGGAGAUAGAGACACGUGGCGCCAUUUUAGAGGAGGACAGCGACAGCGACCGCGACCGCGGCGCGCGAGUCCUCCUACCGUAGUGCGUGGACGACGCGGCGUAGACGACUUUCUCGACUGUCCCCGCGCGUUUCGCCGCCCGCAGCACGUUCUCCGUGCCGACGACGUUGUUCUCGACGCAAAACGCCGUCAUGUUCGUCGCGGACGCGUUCAGCGACGGAAGGACUUUGCUCAUCGCCGCGAGAUGGAAGACGACGGCGACGUCGUAGGGGCCGUCAUCAGACGCGUCGAUCGCGUCUUCUUCUUCUCGCGUCUUCGCCAUCCCUUUCCCUUUCCCCCCGCCGACCCCUCGCGCUCGCAUCGCGCGCUCGACGUCCUCGUACGCGCGCACGUCCCCGCGGACGAACUCCACGCCCCCCCCCGGGACGUUCGCCCUCGAGCCCGUGCUCAGGUUAUCCAGCACGCGGACGCGGUACCCGAGUCGGAGGAGCAAGUCGACGAGGUGCGAGCCGAUGAAUCCCGCGCCUCCGGUCACGAGCGCGACGCGCGCGUCCGUCGCGUUCGACGGCUCGCGUCGAACGCGGACGCUCGCGCACGGGUCCUCGCCGGUCGGCGUCGGCGUCGGCGUCGGCGUCGAGGGCGUCGUCGGCGUCGCGGGUGAGCGCGGUCGCGAGGACGACGGCGCGGUUGGCGCGCGUCGGAGCUCCCCCUCGAGGGUUCGCGCGGCGCCGCCGGCCACGGUGCCGAGUGCGCGCGAUUCCGACGGCGCCGAAGAGAUGCGCUCGCGGACGGCGGCGAUCUCGUGGACGGCGCCGCCGCCGCCGCCGCCGCUCAUCGCGGUCGCCAGCGCGACGCACGUCGCGACCGCGAUGAGAAGAGUCCACGUCCACGGCGAGCGCGCCGCGUUCGGCGGCAUCGCGACCCGCGGGACGCGCCCCGUGCGCCGCGCCGCGGGUUUGUGGCUCGUGAGCGAGCACUGCUCGCCGGGCGCUGCCGCCCUGGGAGAGCCAGCGUAGCGCCAGCGCCAGGCCUCUCGAAACGCCACGUCGCGUCUGGUCGCGUCGUCGCGCGGUGUCGGCACUCUUCCACGCGCGCGCUCUCGCCCGCGCACGAUGUCGACGUCCGCCUCGUUCGCCGCCGCGACCGCGGUCGCGCCGCGCGCGCCGCCGCGCCGCCGCCGCGCCGCCGCCGCGCGCGUCGUCGGCGCGUCCACGGCGCGGCGCGGCGGCGUCGCCGCGCGCCCGCCGCGCGCGACCGCCUCUUCAGAUCUUCCCUCGAGAUCCUCCACUCUCUCUCGCCUCGAGGGCGAGGAGCUCGCGACGCUCAUGGACGUCAUGGCCGAGGACCUGACGCACCUGUUCGACGAGAAGGGCAUCGACAGGAACCUGUACGAGGACGACGUCUCGUUCGAGGACCCGCUGACGAGGUACGACAACAUCGACGGCUACCUGUUCAACAUCGGCAUGCUCAAGAACGUCUUCAAGCCGCGAUACGUCAUGCACUCCAUCGAGCAGACGGGCGACUGGGAGCUCUCGACGCGGUGGACGAUGGAGAUGACGCUGCCGGACGUGCCGUUCUUCUGGAAGCCGCGGCUCACGUUCACGGGGACGUCCGUGAUGGGCCUAAACCCGGACACGAAGCGCGUGAAGACGCACUUCGACACGUGGGAUUCGCUCGGGGAGAGCCAGGGGUUUCUGAACGGGCCGGGCGGCGUCGCGGAGGUGCUGCGGCAGGUCUUCGACUUGACGAAGGCGCCGGACAUCGAGACGCCGCGGUACGCCGUGCUGCGACGGUUCGCAUCGUAUGAAGUCCGGGAAUACGAACCGUUUCUCGUCGCGGAAACGUCCACCCCCGGGGCGUUUUCCGGCGGCAACGCGUUCGGCGUCCUCGCGCAAUACAUCUUCGGCGGCGGGAACGAGACGAACGAAAAGAUGGAGAUGACGACGCCGGUGUACAUGACCGACGCGGGCAAGAUGCAGUUCGUCCUCGAGCGGAAGUUCAACGGCGACGUCGGCGCGCUCCCGAAGCCGAAGGAGGGGACCGGGGUGGAGACGAAGCUGCGAGAAGGCGGCGUGUACGCCGCGCGGCGAUUCAACGGGAUCGCGUCGGAGGCGGGGGCCGAGGCGGAGGAGAAGCUCUUGACCGACGCGCUCGUCGCGGACGGGCUCGUCAGAGCGGCGGGCGCGCCCGCGUCGCUGGCGCAGUACAACGACCCGCUGACGAACCCGAUCCAGCGUAGGAACGAGGUGCUCGUGAAGCUCGAGGGGUUCGAUAAGACGAAGCUGUGACGCGACGCGCGAGGGAAGAUCUUUUCGCGCGAGGACGGAGUCGGACGAGGACGCGAGACGCGCGUCGUUCGUCGUUCGUCAGUUUGUAAUGCUACUGCCUAAUGAUUACCCGACUUGGUCUGCUAACUAAACUAAAAACGUAACUUAUUACUGUACUUCCUCGUGUUGUACACGUACAGUGUGUACGCGAUGACGCGCGGUCCGUCGAUCCUUCAUCACGAGAUGCCCGCGCGGCCGUACUCGCCGUCGUCGAUCGAUUCGCGCGUCGACGGCGACGCGACGCUCGCGCGUCGACUCGAAGCUCGCGCGACAGCGGCGCCGCGGCGCGACGUCGGCGGCGAAGUCUUCCGCGCGCUGGACCACCCACCGGUCGACCGUCCCAGGCUCGUCGGCGCCGGGGUCGACGCCGCCUCGCGCUCGCGUCUUCUCCCGCGAGCGGCGGUUUCGGUUUCGACGAGAGAAGCGCCGCCGCCGCCGCCGCGUCCGUUUCGCUCCGACGCGGCGAACGCGGCGGCGGCGUCUCGCUUCACCUUCGCGAGCUUCUUCUUCAGCGCCUCUCUCCGACUCCCCGGCUCGCGCUCGUGUCGCACGACCCUCCGCACCCGCCUCGACGCGUGCGACGACGACGCGUCCGCGCGGCCGGGGAGCAGCCGCGCCGCGGACGCGAGCCGCAGCGCGGCGGCGCCGCCGGCGGCGGCGCGCGCCUCGAGACGGCAAUCGUAAUCGACGACGAACGCGAGCCGUCCUUCCCCGGUCAGCGGGCCUUUCACGAGCUUCGUGAGCGCGCUCGAGCGCCACUCCGGGGACGUCCGUCGGAGCUCCGGCUCGUCCGCGCGAUCGACGAGCUUCGCGACGCACGCGGCGAGGUGCGCGACGUCGGAGACGUUUGGACACAUGAUUUCGACGACGCGGCACGUCGCCGCGCGCGACGUCGUCGUCGUCCGCGCGCCGAGCGCGGCGUGCGUCGCCGCCGCGCCGCGGUCGACGACGACGGACUCGGUCGUGAACACGAGCUCGGUGACGCGCGCGGUGGCGGCGGCGGCGGCGGCGGGUUCUCCCUCGAUCGAAUGCGAUUCGCGCGAAUGCGAUUCGACGACGCGGCCGGCGGCGGCGGCGGCGGCGGCGGCGAAUCGAGCGAGCCUGCCGCGGCGCAGCGCCGCCUUCGUCGCGGCGAGGUCGCGAAGCGCGAGCACGGCGGCGUCCUCGACUUCGUAGAGAAGCCCGCCGGACCCCGCGGAGGAGUAUAACUGCGCGGAUCGGCCGUUACCGGACGCGGCGACGUCCCGACGCGGACGCACGCGCAGACGCGUCGGGGGCGCCUCCGCCGCCGCGCCGCCGCCGACGAUUCUUUUCGCCGACGCCUCGUCGUCGUCUUCGUCUUCGUCGUUCCCUACCGCUCCGGCCAACAGGUCGUCCACCGCGAGCCCGUGGGCGUGGAACAUGGACAGGCCCAGCGUCGUCCCGACCCACGUGCCUUCCGCGCCGGGGGGUAUCGCCGGCGGCCCGGUCGCGACGCGAACGAGUCGGUCCGCGAUCGCGUCCGCGACGGCGUCGCCGAUGGACGACUCGUAAAACGUCCCAUCGUCGUCCGUUUCUGGAAUCUCCCUGAACCGAUCCCCGCCGCUCGCGUUCAGAACGAUCACCGUGGAGUCGAACCCUGAGCGCGCGGCGGAGGCGACCGGGUUCGCGACGACGCCCACCGCGCGCGCGUCGCCGACGCCUUCGAGGAUCGCGUCGAACGCGAAUUUUUCAUCGCCGAUCGACACCACGCCGUCGUCGUCGUCGUCGCCGCCGACGCCGCCGCGUCGGCGCGCGUACAACGUGACGCCGACGUCGCCGGCGUCCAUUCCCGCGUCGUCGUACUCGAACGGCGACGCGCGCGCGGAAACGGACGCGGCCCACGCGGCGGCGUCAUCCUCGGCGUCGAAACUCGCGUCCAAUUUCGCGCGCCGUCUCUCCGGCUCGGCGUCGCGCUCGGGCUCUGGGUCAUAAGGAUGAGGGUUGAACUCGUCGACGUCGUAUUCGAUAUCGAAAUCGAGCGCGGCGGCGGCAGCCGCCGCCGCCGCCGCGUGCGCCUCCGGGGUGAGACUCAGCCGCCGCCGCGACGACGAAGCCGCCUUCGACGACGACGCCGGCGGGUCGGGCGUCCGCGCCGCCGACGCCGCGAGUUCUUCUUCGUCUGAGGGUUCCGAUUCCUCCGGCGCCUCGAACGUCACGCGUCUCGACGGCGACUUCGCCUCCUUCGCCGUCGCGCGCGCGCGCGCGCGCGCGGCCGCCGUCGUCUUCCUGCUCGCCCACCCGCGCGCCGCGGCUUGGACGCGCGUCGCCGCGGCGUCGAAAAUCAGCCGCGUCGCUCGGACCAUCGAUCGCGCGCGGCCGCCUCGGUGGACGGAUUGAAUCCUCGUCGCCGCCGCGUGUCUUCUUGCGUCGUCGUCGGCGUCGUCGUCGGCGUCGGUCGCGAUCGGAAAAGCGGCGUCCGCGGGCGCUUCUUCGACGGGAUCGUCGAGCGAGCUCUGAGGGAUCGCCGGCGUCGACUCUUCGCCGCCGCCGCCGCCGUCGUCGUCGUCGACGUCGACGACGUCGUUAUCCUCCACAGCCUCCGCGGCGACGCGUUGGAUCGGCGAGUCGCGCUCGGGCUCAACCUCCACCUCCUCCCGUCGCGGUUCGUCCUCGCGUGCUUCCGUCUCCGUCUCCGUCGUCGCGUCCAUCGACAUCGAUCGCCGCCUUCGUCUCGUCGGCGAAUUCAAGAGCUUAUCCCUCGCGCGGACGUACGCGAAACUCCUGGGCGGCGAAGGCGGCGGCGACUGCGUGUGCGCGUCGCUCCUCACCCUCGGAGGAGAAGGCGGCGGCGACUGCGUGUGCGCGUCUCUCCUGGGCGGCGACGACGGCGGCGAUAACAUCGAGAUCGCCGCCGCCCGCGCGUCGUCCUCGACGGCGUACUGCGACGCGACCUCGCGCCGCGACGACGACGCGAACGCCAGCAGACGCGGCGGCGACCGCGGCGGGCUCCGGUCCCGGUCCUCGCUCUCGUACACCGGCGACGUGUACGUCCCGUGCGUGCCUCGGAUCGGCGUCGCUGCCGCGGCGAGUUCGAGAGCCAUUUUCUGACGCUCUUCGUGGGCGCGCGCGAGCUCCGACGCGAGUCGCUUCUCCGCCGCAGCCUUCGCCUCGGAGGCUUCGCUCGCGAACGCCGUCGCCUCGAGGGCGACUUUCUCGAGCUCCGACGCGCGCGCCUCGGACGCCGCGUGCGUCUCGUGCAGCGCGCGGCGUUGCGAGAGCAGAUGCGCGAUCUUCGCGUUUUUAUCGACCAAGACGCGUCGCAGCGCCGCGGCUUCGUGCGACUGCUUCGUCUCCUCGAUCGUCGCUUUCGCAGCCUUUCGCUCUUCGAUGAUGCGCUUGACCUCCGCCUUCGUCGCCUUGCGCUCGUCGAGCAGCUUCGCGACGUUCGCGUCGCGCUCGGUCAGGGUCUUUUGCAGGAUCGCGGUUUCCCGUCGCAGCGUGUCGACGAGGGAAUUGAGCCCGGACGCCUCUCGCCGAAGGCUUCGGAGUUCCUCCGCGAUGCCCGACUUUUGCGCGCGCUCGGACGCGAGCGACGCGUUCAGCCACUCCACCUCCGCGUCGACGCGAUCGUGCGCGGACUUCUGACCGCGCACGACGUGCGUUUUCCAGACGAAUAACGCGCGUUCGACGGCCGUUUUCUCCUUCCUCCGCCAGCGCGCCGCCGCGCGUCUCAUCUUACCAACCUUCGCGCGUCGCGCGUACAUCGCGGACGCCCAUCGCUUCAACCUCCGUCGCGUGUCCUCGCGCGUCACGGACGCUCGCAGCCGCGCGGUGACGCCGCGGACGUACGCCGCGCCGUCGCGCACCUCGAUCCACGCCGCGAAGACGCGAGCGAUCGUCCGCGCGUCCCACGCCUUGGACGCGCGGGAUAACCCCGCUUUUCGAACCUCGGAGCGAAUCGCCGCCGAGGACGCGGCUUUCUUCAGCGCCGCGGCGAUGACCUCGCGCGCGGCGGCGACGUCCUUCGCGCGCGCGGCCCAUCGAAUGAACGCGCUGCGAGACGCGACGCGGCGCGCGCGACGUCUCGCGCGCGUCAAGGCGACGCGCUCGAGCGUCCGCUCGCGCGCGAGAGUUUUCCACUCUGAAAAAUUGUCGUCGACGCGCGUCGUCUUUCGACGCGUCACGAGCGCGAGAAUCCCGACGCGGAGCCGCUUCCGCCGCGCCGCGGCGUCGCUCCACGCGCGCAUCAGCGCCGCGACGCGUCGCGUCGUCAACCGCGUCUCGAAACGCGUCGAAACGCGCUCGAGGAUCGCGUCGCGCUUCGAGCGCGCCGCGAGCGCCCGCCACUCUCGCGUCGCCGCGCGCGUCUCGCGCGCGUCGCGUCGCCGUCGAAUCACGCCCGCGAUCUUCCGCGCGCGCUUCGCGUCGCGCGCGAUCGACGCCCAGCGCUCGAACGCGCGAGAGACGCGCGCGCGGCGCCACCGCGACGUCUUUUUCUGGACGACCACCCGAGCCCGGCGCUCGCCUUCGCACGCGUCGCGCCACGUCCGAAACGCGCGCCACCGCGCGUUUCGGACGCGUCUUUGAAACGCCGCGUCCGCGCGCGUUUCAGCGACCCGCGCGCGCCGCUCGACGUCCUUCGCUGUCUUCCAACGCCAGAACACGCCGUGCAGCGUCGCGCGGUUGAUCCGGUUCACGAUCCGCCGCGCGCCGUUGCGGUGCCGGAUCGACUCGUCGACGCGUUUGAUCCAACGCCAAAAAGCGUUCGCGACGCUCGCGCGCGCGCGUCUCGCGGCGAGCCUCUCGACGCCGACGCGGCGGCGGCGGCGCUCCCGCGCGCGCUCGCUCCACGCGAGGAGCGCGCUCCACGCCAACCGAUUCGCGACGCGCGAACGCGCGCGGUCCGCGCGAAUUCGCGCGAGGCGGCUCGCGACGGACGCGUCGUGGAAAGCCGCCCACCGCGCGAAAGCCGCGGACGUCUUGACUCGCGCCAUUUUGCGCGCCGCGCGCGCGUCGACGCCGCGCCGCGUCUUCUCGUCGUCGAGACUCCCCGUCCACGCCGCGAACGCGGACGCGAGACGCGCGUGCUGCCACCUCAGCACGAACCGCGAGAGCGCCUUUCGAACGCGUCGGCGGCCGCGCGCGUUUCGAUGCCACGUCGACAACGACGCGGCGGCGACGCGCGCGACGACGCGCGCGCGCGAUCGAUCGGCGCGCGCCUCCGCGACGGCGACGCGCCUCGCGGCGUCGUUCGCGUCGCGCGCGCUCGACGCGACGUCGCGCCACUCGUCAAAGACGGCCGCCGUCGUCGCGCGCGCCGCGCGCGCGGCGGCGCGCGCGAAGUGCCGAUCCGCGCGCGCGGCGGCGGCGGCGUCGCGCGUCGUCGCCGCGACGCGCUCGGUCCACGAACGAAACGCGCGCCGCGCGCGCGAAUUCUCCCAUUUGAGCGCGAACGUCUUCAGCGCGCGCCGCGCGCGCUCGCGCCCGCGCGCGUCGUCGUUCCACGCGCGAAACGCGACGGACGCGGCGCGGUGGCGGAGGCGACCGAGCGCGCGCGUCGCCUUCGCGUUCGCGGCGGCGGCGCGCCUCGCCUCCUCCCCGGCGAGCCGCCACCGCGCGAACGCGCGCGCGAGCGGCGCGCGGCGACGCCGCGACGUCACGCGCGCCAGCGUCGUCUGCCAGUGCCCUUCGCUCGUCGCGUAGCGCCAUCUCGCGAACGCGACGGCGAACGCGCGGUCGCGCGUCCGCCGGAACGCGCCGUCCGCGCGCGCGAGCGACGCGCGCGCGCGGUUCGCGUCGAGGACGCUCGAUCGCCAUCCCGCGCACGCGCGCGCGAGCAGCUGACGCGCAAAUCUCGUCGUCGCGCGCCGCGUCAGACGCUCGCGGCGCGUCUCUUCGUCGACGACGUCGCGCCACGACGCGAACGCCGCGCUUAACAGACCGCUCGCCGCGCGGUAAAAGAGACGCUCCGCUCUGCCGAUCGCGGCCCGGAGCCGCCGCGCGCUCGCGGCGUCCGCGGCCGCGGCAGCCUCCGCGGCGGCGGCGUCGAGCGCGGCCUGCUUCUCCUCGGCCGCCUCCUCGCGGAGAGACCUCUCGCGCGCCGCGGCGUCCUCGCGCGCCGCCUUUUCCGUCGCAGCCGCCGCUUCCACGACGGCUCUCUCCAUCGCGGCCAUCGCGCCGUCGUUAUCGCCGCUCAUCGCCUCGAGCGCGCGCGCCGCGUCCGCCUCCAGCGACGCGCGCAAGCGCUCGCGAUCGACGACGCCGGACCAGGCGAUGAACGCGCGGUGCGCGGUCGCGCGCCGCGCCAGCCGCGUCGAUCGCUCGAUCGCGCGUCGCCGCGAAAUCGCGCGCUCCGCGGCGUCGCGCCAGACGGUGAACGCCGCGCGCGCGACCCUCCGCGCGCGUCGCUCCGCGAGCCGGUCCGCGCGCGCGACCGCCGCGCGAUCGCGCGCGGCGGCGUCCACGACGGCGGUCCACUCCGCGAACGCGGCGGACGUUCGCGCGAANNNNNNNNNNNNNNNNNNNNNNNNNNNNNNNNNNNNNNNNNNNNNNNNNNNNNNNNNNNNNNNNNNNNNNNNNNNNNNNNNNNNNNNNNNNNNNNNNNNNUCGGCGAGGGCGCGACGUGUGCGUCGCGCGAAGAAUCGGUCCGCGCGCGCGGCGGCGACGCGGCCGAGCUUCGCGUCGUAGACGACGGCGAUCCAUUCCGCGAACGCCCGCGAGGCGCGCGCGCGUCGCGUCCGUCUCGUGAACGUCUCGACGACGCGACGACGCGUCCGCUCCUCCGAAACGCGCUCGCGCCAGGUGUUAAACCCGGCGGCCAACGCGCGGCGCGCGCAUCGCGCGAUGGCGACGCGCGCGCGCCUCGCGCGACCCGCCGCCUCCGUCCACCGUCGAAACGCGCGCGACGCCGCGCGCGCGGACCAGCGCGCGAUGAACUUCCGCGCGACGCCCCCGAGGCGUUUCACCUCGACCGCGCGCGCGCGCCACUCGAGAAACGCGAGGGACGACAGGCGCCGCGCGACGUGCGCGUUUCGGCGCUCCGCGCGUUUGAGCGCGACGGCGCGCGCGCUGCGGUCGCCGACGACGUCCGCCCACCGAGCGAACGCGCCGCGGAGGCGCCGCGUCGCCGCCUUAAUUUCAAACGCGCGCGUCUUCGCGCGCGCGCGCUUCUCCCCCGCGACGACCGCGCGCCACGCCGCGCACGCGGCGGACGCGACGCGGUGCUGGAGGUGCGCGUUUCGGCGCUCCGCGCGUUCGAGCGCGACAGCGGACGCCUUCGCCUCGCGAAUCGCCUCGGUCCAUCUCGAAAACGCGCCUCCGACGACGCGCCUCGUCGCCCUUCCGCGGAGGCGCGCGCACGAGACGCGGACGCGGCGCUCGCGCGCGCACGUCUCGGCCCACGCGUCGUACGCGCCCGCGAGCGCGCGAGCGCGGCGGCGCGCGUCGAACCUGGCGAAGGCGCGAGCGCGCCGGCGGCGCGAGACGACGACGUCGCGCCACGCCGCGAACGUGAGACGCGCGAAUGAACGCGUCGCGCGAUGAAAGCGCGCCGCCGCGCGAGCCUCCGCGCGCGCCUCCUCGGCGACGCGGCGACGCGCGGUCUCUUCCUCUUCCUCGCGAAUUCGCGCGGCGUCGACGGCGCGAACGCGCGAAAUCUCUUCCUCGCGCGCGACGGCCGCGCGCGCCGCGAGCGCUUCUCGAGUCUCCGCCCGCCAGCGAUGAAACGCGCGCGUCGCCGCGGACGCGUCUCGAAACUUCGACGACCACGCGCACAGGGACUCCCUCAGCGCGCGUUCCUUGACGUCGCCCACGACCGCGGCCCACGCGCGGACGACGCGUCCGAGAGCGCGAGCGCUUAAGCGGCGCGUCAGCGUCUCCGCGCGCGCGUCUCGCGCCUUUGACCUCUCCGCGCGCGUUCGCCACGAGGCGAAGAGCUGAGACUUCCAUCGUCGUCGGACUCUGCGCGAGAGCCGCUCCGCCCACACGUUCGCGAUGGCGAACGCGCGCUCCCGCGCGAUGCGCGCGUCCUCGACGCGCUUGAUCGUCUCUGCGAGCUCGCGCUCAUGCCGUUUCGCAUCCUCGAGCGCUCGCGUCCACGCCUGGAACGCGAACCGGCGCGCGCGCGCGAGGUGCUUCUCUCGCGUGCCCUCGGCGCGGCGCUCCGCGACGGCGAGCCUCGCCGCGAGCGCGUGCGGCCGGUUCAACCUCCGCUGGCACUCGAGCAUCCACGCCAUGAACGCCCUGCCGCGCAUUCGCCGCUUCCCGAGCGCGUCCACGCGCGCUUCGACCGCGCGGCCUUUCGCGCGGAGGGUCACGAACGUCGACCACGCGCGCAUCGCUCUCGACGCCAGGCGGACGAAGCCGCUCAUCGCGUCGAGCGCCGCGACCCAACGCGCGUACUCUCUCCAGCCCGCGAAACAGCGACGUUUCGUGUCGUACCCGCGGCGAACGAUGGAGAGUAACACGAACCGUCGCGACGACGACGCGUGGCGGUGGUGGUCGAGCCACGCGACGAACGCGCGUCGCGCGAGCGCCGUCAGCGAUCGGCGCAUCAGGCGCUCGGCGCGUCGAAGCGUCGCGCGCGCCGCGCGCUUUCCGUCGGCGACGUCUCUCCACGCGCGCACGCACCGCGAUUCGCAUAACCCGCGCGCGCGUCGAAGGACGCAGUCCUCGCGCCGCGUCGCCGCGACGACGUCGCGCCAUCGCCUCCAGGACGUCCGCGCCGCACGCGCCGCGCGCCACCUCGCCGCGAUGGACGUCUUCUCCUCCUCAGCGGCGCUCAUUUCGGCGCCUCUCCUCCACGCUCGAAACGCCGCCGCCUUCUUCCGGAACGCCGUCCGCGCCUCGUGCCUCUCCGCGCGCUCGCUCGCCGCGCGCGCUCGCUCGCGCGCGUCCGCGACGACGGACGCGCAUUCGCGCCACGUGCGCAACGACUCGCGCAGCGACGCGCGCGAGCGUCGCGCCCACAUCCGCCGUAACGCGUUGGCGCGGUAAAUGACGCUGCUGCUCUCCGCGUCGCGCGCGCGCAGCGACGCCGUCGCGGUGAUGUGCCAGAACCGCACGACGUCGCGGAGUCGCUUGUGCGUGAUGCGCCGCCGCAGGAAGAUAUCCGCGCGGCGCUCGAGCACCUCCGACGCGAUGGACGCGCGCGCGUCUCGGCGCCACUUUUUAAAACACGAACGCGUUCGCCACGUUCGCGAGCGAUCCCUCGCGAGCGCCUCCGCUCGCGCGAGCCUCUCUCUCGCGACCGCGCCGAGGACCGCCUCUCGCGACCACUCGCGCAGGAUCCACCGCGUCGUGCGCGUCGCGCGAGUAACCGCCAUUCGAUCGGCGUUACGACGCGCGUCGGCGGCGGACGCCGUCGCGGCGCGCCACGCAGCGAGCGCGCUCUUAGGGUCGUUCCAUACAAAAAAUGUUCACCGGUCAGUUGAAAGGGGAUGCGAUCAAAUAUUGAAACCGGGCGAUGGGUGAAACACGUUUGUAUACGGCGGUCGUACUGUAGAACGCACCUUCGACGCGAAGUGUUUCCGCUUCCGCUCCGGCUUCAGAGCAAACGUCCGCAAGAGACGCUCGCUCAAGGUCAUGAUCUCGUCGCCCUCGUCGCGCUCGGGGGCCCAUCCCGCGGUCGCGAACGCGUCGCCGCGCGAGGAUAUCGACGCGAUGCGCUCGGGGGCGCCGUAAGAACGUGCCUCGUCGUCGUCGCCGCCGCCGACGCCGUCGCCGCCGCCGUCGUCGCCGCCGUCUGGGCCCGCUCGCGAGAGCCGACUUCUCGACCGCAGCUUCCCCGGCGUCGUGCUCACGACAGCCUCGCCGGACGGCAACGUGAGCCGUACGACGAGAAGGCACCGCCGCGGGGUUUGCCGCGACCGCACGACGAUGAAGUCGCGCCCGCCGAGCCUGUCGAGGUUGCGCGCGGCGUCCUCGCCGAACGCCGACGCGAACGCGUCUCGCGUCGCGCGCGCGGAAUCGCCGCCGCCGCCCCGACCGAAUCGCAUCACGCCCCACCCGCGCCACUCGCCGCGUUUCAACCGCACGCCGCCGAGGAGAUUCCAGCGCUCGUGCACGCCGCGCGAGUCGCUGAAAAACUGCACGCGGUGCGGGGGUUUCCGUCGCGCUUGGAGGUACUUCCCGGUGAAGAUCGACGCGAGGCCGAGCGCGCCGUACGCGGGCGCCGACGCCGCGUCGGCGCCACGCGUCGCGCGCUCAUUGGACGGCGUGGCCGCGACGCCGCCACCGCCGACGACCGGCGUCAGCGACGGGAUCGCGCCCCCGACGCCGCUCUGGACGCUGCCGCUCGUCGACGGCGUCGCGACGACGGCGGACGUGAACGUGAACGACGACGCGCUCUCUCCGCCGCCGCCAGCCGCGCGUCGUCCGCCGGAGGCCUCGCGUCUCGCGCGCCACUCGUCCACGACGACGUUCCCGCGCCAGUCCGCCUCCAGCCUCGCCUCGAACGCGGUCGUCGUGCUGUCGCGUAUGGACGGCGGGAAGUCCCUCGCGGGGCCGCCGACGUCGCCGCCGCCUUCGCCGAGGCUCCACCACGACGCUCUGCGCGCGUCGUCGUCGUCGUCGCCGUCGUCGUCGUCGUCCUCUUCCGCGAGGUGCAGCGUCUCCGCGCGCCCGGGCGCGCGGCGCGACGCGUCCUCCGCGGGCGGGGAGUCGUACGGCGCGCACGCGAGAGGGUCCGCGACCGCGAAGACCUCGCCGUCUCUCGGGAGCCACGCCCACCGCGGCAGCGCUUCGCGGCGGUCGGCAUCGUCGUCGUCGUCGUCGCGCGGCGUCGCGACGCCGCGCGGCGUGGUCGUCCGCGUCUCGUGUUCGCCGCCCGUCGUCGUCGCCGUCUCCGCGGGGCUGCCGCCGUCGGGCGUGCGGCUCGGGCCCGCGGGCUCGUGCGCGCGCUCGGGCGGGCUGUCGUCCGCGCUCGGCCCCGCGGACGCGAGGCCUCGCGACGGGUCCAUCGCGGUUCGUUCUCUCUUCCGUGCUUAACAACAACAACGACCUCGCGCGGACGCCGCCGUCGCCGCGCGCUCGCGGCGUAUCGCGCGCGCCGCCGCGCGCGUCCGGAGUCUCCUAAGGUCUAGGACUCCUCGCGCGGCGCUUCUCUCGCGACGCCUUCGCUAAAGGCGCGCGCGAGAGAGUGCGGCGCCGGCGAGGGCGUCGGUGUAUUUGAAUGGUGUGCGCGGCGCCGGCUGACGAGACCAAGAUCAGCAUGCUCGCUUCUGUCGUCGACGCCGCUCCUCAGACCUCGACGCACCGCGCGCGCGUUCCCGAGUCUUCGUCGCGAUGCUGACGCUCCUCCGACGGUGCGCGCCUCCCCAUCAGAGCCCCCACCGCCCGCCGCCGCGCCGCCGCGCGCGCGGGCGCCGCGACGCCGCCGCGCGCGCGUCGUCCGUCGACGGCGUCGACGGGGGCGUCGGCAACCCUAGCGAUCGAAUCGAUCGAGCGAUCGAGCGUUCGCGCCCUCGUCUCCGCUCCAUCGCGCGUCGCCGUCGCCCGCCGCGCGCGCUCGCGAGGCUGACGAUCUCCAUCCUCCCCCUCCUUCUCCUCUCCCUCCUCGCGUCGCGUCGCCCGCAGGUGCGCGUCCGUCGCGCGGCGCGAGCGCGCGAUCCUCCUCGCGCCGUCCCUCGCGCCGAGCGCCUCCGUCGCGCCGUGGCGAUGGCGACGGCACGCGAGCAACGAGACGGGCACGAAGUACGACGUCGCGAACGGCCCGGGCGCGAACUUGCUUCGAAUCCUGCGCGACGCGGAGAAGCCGCUGUCCGUCGCGCAAAUCUACGCGAGCGUGGAGGAGCGCGAUAGAGAGGCGCAGGGGGUGCACUCGAAGCGGCACAUGAAGGGAUUGCUGCGGUGGAUGAAGUCCAUACAACGCGUGUACACGUUGCCCGCGAAGAAGGCGUUCGAGGAGGACAUCGUCAGCUUGCGCGCGUCGGGGAAGGGCCACGUGUUCAAGCUCACGGAGAAGGGAGAGAAGCACAUAGCGAAGAUCGACGCGAACGCGGGGAUCGAGCGUCCGGCGGCGGCGGACGGCGGCGCGGCGGGCGCGGCGAGCGCGAGCCCGCCGCCGCCGUCGUGAGGCGACCGACCGACCGACCGACCGCGCGCGCGCGGAUAGAAGCAGGACACCGCCGAUAGUUCUAGAACGUCCUAAUUCAUUCGUAUUGAUGAGUGUGCCACGCUCGCGCGCGUCGUCGUCGUCGUCGUCGUCGUCGUCGUCGUCUCGCGUUCUCUCUCUCGCGCCCGACGUCGGCGAGCGAAGAAAAAAUCCUCUCCCCGAUCACGCCGGCACCCCGCCCUCGCCGCCGUUCGCCGUCGGCGUCUUCAACCCCCCCGCCCCCGCCCCCGCCCUCUUCUGCCGCUCGAGCGCCUCCAUCCGCUGCUUCUGCCGCUCCGCGGACUCGACGAGCGCGUUCGCGAGCCGCUCCGCCUCCCACGCCUCUUUCUCGUACGUCUCAGGGUCGUUCCAUACGAGCGAACGUCGGGGUGGAGUUCAAAGGCGUCAGGUGGAGUUGAAAGGCGUCGCGGGCGGGCGUUGAAAGCGAGGGGUGGGCGGAGAGAGACGACGGGAAAAGUCCUUAAGGAUCGGCGUUCACCACGCGAACGCGGUCGUAUGGGGACCAGUGUAUAGAACGCACCUCGGCUUCCCGCGCCGCUUCCUCCGCGAGCGCGGCGGCUUUUUCCGCGUCUCUGACCGCCCUCGCGGCGUCCUUGUUCACCUCCUCCGCGGUCCUGUACUGCCCGUUGACGAGGAACAGGUACGGCGCCUCCGCGGGGGUCAUCGUCGCGGUUGAGGCGGGGGCGGCGCCGCCCGACGCGCGGCCCCCGGCGCCGCCUGCGUUUUUCUGCUUUUUCUUCGCGUUUCCGCCGUUUCCGUCGUUCCCGCCGCGGUCGCGCUUGGACUUAUCGCCUCCCGCGCUGCCCCCCCCCCCGGCGCCCUUCUCGCUCUUCACCUCGCUCUUAUCCUUGCGGUGGUGGCUCCGCGCUCCGCCUGAAUUCUUCUCCGACGCGGAGGACGUCUUCUUCGACCCGCCGCCGCCGCCGCCGCCGCCGCCCCUCGACCCGCCGCCGCCGGAGGAGCGGCCUUUCCCGCCGCGCCUCCCGCCGCUCUCGCUCUUCGUCGCGCCUCGAGACCCGUCGGAGGUCUUAUCGUCGUCGUCCUGCGCGCGUCCGGGCGGGGACGAGGAGGAGGGGGUUGGACGGAGCGGUGAGCGCGGCGGCGCGACCCGAAAGGAAUCGAAAGGAAUCGAGUCGACCGCUCCGAGAAUAAUGAGACGCGUCGCCGUCGUCGCGCGCGACGUCGCCGCGGCGUCCGCUCGCCGAUCGCGAAGCGGGAGCGAUGCGCCGCCCGACGCGCGCGGUCGCGCGAGCCCGGGCGGAGAUCGAGCGGCGGGCGGACGCGCGGCGGACGCGAGCGCGGCGGCGGCGGCGGCGGCGGCGUCGACGCGCCGUCGAUCUCGGGACGAACGAAGCGACGACGGGAGAGGGGCGGUCGCGGCUCGCACCGUGUACUCCGACGAGCCGUUGUUCGGGUACAUGUUCCUCCAUUUAUCCUGCGAGAGGCGAGGCGCGCGCGGGUCAGCGGGCGCGAUCGCGUCGGCCGAGGCGGAGGAGGAGAGACGAGCGAGCGGCGACGCGAGGAGGAGACGGGGCGUCGCCGCGUAGAUCGAUCGUGACGCACCUUCAGGUCGACGUUGGAGCGCAGAUUGAGCGUCUUGCCGAGGACGUCGUCCUUCUGGAUGAGCCGCCACUUCCCCGGCCCGUACUUCUUCACGCCUCGCUUCAGCGCGUCCUCCUCCUCGACGGACCAUUUCGUCUUCGGCGCGCCCAUGCCUCCGGACGCGCGCGCGCUCGCGUGUGCGUCGUCCGCGUCGUCGUCGUCGUCGUCGGUCGUCGAGAAUUCCCGUCGUCGCGUCGUCGGCGCGUCCGAUGAGAUCGAUCGAUCGCGAUUUUUCGGGGAGCCGUUGGUCGGGCGCUGUUCGAGUCGUUGUUGACUCCGCGCCCCGCCGCGCCUCGCGCGCCACACGCGGACGCGCGCGGGCGCGCCACGCCACCCGCCGCUCCCGCACCGCACCACCACACAAUGCCCCCCAGCGCGCUUAAACCCCCCGCGGGCGAUGGCAUCAUCAACGGCGCGCGGCCGUACCGCCUCCUGAACGAGACGUCCAUGAAGGACGGCUGGCGUCGCGUCCGCGUCGUGGGAUGCCUCGCGCUGAUAUUCUUCGUCCUCGGCUGUCUGUACCUGAUAUACGAGCUCGCGUGGUACAACGUCCGCGACCGCGACGCGCGCGACAUGGCGUGGGACUACAGGGUCACGUCCGCGGCGUCGCUGACGUUCCACAAGUACUUCCGGAUGGUCUCGUGGGCGACGUAUUACUACAUCAACGCCGCGGCGGACGUGUUCCGAGAGGUGGUCGUCGCCGGGUACGAUCGACCGGUCGUCCUGUUCCUGCAAGGAGGCACGUGCACGAGGACGGUGACGGUCCCGUGCCUCCUCGCGAAGCCGUCCUGGAGAGAUACCGCGACGAACGGUCAGCUCAACGUCGCCACGGAGGCUGGCACGUGGGCGGUGGGGAACGGGAAGUGCAUGAAGUCCGCGGCGACGACGUUUGCGAAAUCGCUCGUCGACGCCACCGACGCGAACUGCGGCCUCGGCGUCGACGACACCCCGAUGUACGCCUCCGGCGCGGAUAUGGCGCAGUAUUACGUCACGCGAUACGAUGAGCUCAACGCGAUGCGCGCGGCGAUCACGGUGGCGUGCAACGACGGGGUUGUCGGGUCCACGCCGACCGCGUGUAAGAUUCCAACCGCGGGUUCGCAGAAUCAAGCCCUGGCCGCGGCGCCCCCGAUUUUGGAGACGUGCGGGUCGACGGCGUACGACAUCUCGUCCACGACGGCGACGUGGACGUACUGCCAGUGGCUGUCGUGGGCGGAUAAUAACUACGGGCUCACGGGGUCGGGGAGCCUCGCGACCGGCACGUGCACGAUUUCCAUAGACGUCGACGUGUGCGUGCAGACGACGGCGGCGUUGCAAGUCGCCGGGCAAGUCUCCGGGAACGCCGGCGCCGUCGCCAUUCGCGACGUCGCCGGCGCGUUCUCGAGCUCCAACGUCCACACGCAGGCGAUCGUGUCCUCGUUGACGUCCACGCCGGGACUGGCGGUCGUAACGUCCAACCAAGCGACGUUAUCGUUAUCCUCUGCGGUGACGCCGUACUACCCGGCCACGGACACCGCGGAUGUGACGUAUCAAAUCUCCACCGCCUACGUCCCGCAGAUUACGAUCACGAACUUCGUCACCGCCGCCGCCGCGGUCGCCGGCGGCGGCGCCAUCUCCGGAUACGCCCUGCCCCCGAGCGACUCCGCGACGUCGUUCACGCAGUACUACGGCUUCUACCAGGGCGUCACGAUCAACGGCGUGCGCGCGACGCUCAAUUACACCUACGAGACGUCCGACGACUGGAAGACGCGCGCGGGGUACUUUGACGCGGCGUUUUGGCCGUGGAAGACGCCGUGCGGCGACACCGCGCACAACGUCACGACCUUCUCGCUGUUGAACUCGCCGCUGACCGUGACGUCCUGGCCCGCGUACAACGGCCAGGGUGCCGUCCCGGUGAUCCCCGUGGUCGUCUUCGGGACGACGACGCGCGUCCCCGCGUACCAGAGCGACUGCGACUUCGACGCCGUCGCCGCGGCCGCGGGGACGGGCGUCUUGACGUGCGCCGCCGCGAGGUUGAGCCACGUGGAGAUUCGGGUGGCGUUCACGCCCGUCGCGAGCGCGACGUUCGGCGCGUGGCGCGUCGUGGACGUGGUGCCGACGUACGGCGCGGCGACGAGCGGCACGGAGGCGACGUUGAUCGCGAAGUGGGGCACCACGCAGACGAUGACGGUGACGCUUCGAGACGCGGGCGCGCCCGAGGCGCUGACGACGCCGGCGCUCAACACGCAGUGGAACGUCGUGUGGGCGAUCACGCUGUUCAGCGCGUUCGCGGUGAGCGCGCCGGUGUACGUGUUGUUGAUGAUGACGGUGGAGGAGAACGUGUGCAUCAACCAAGGGAAGCCGCCGCCGGGUUGGAAGUGGGACGUGCGCUUCCGCGGGUGGUAGAGAAGAGUCUCGUCGGCGCGGCUGUCGUAACUUUUUGGAUUUUAUUAGCAGAGCGUCGGUCGGUCUGUCAUCGUUUCCCUCUCCCGCCGCGGCCUUUCCCGCCGCCGCCUCUUCCUCCUCCACCCUUCCCGCCUCUCCCGCCGCCGCCGCCGCCGCUCUCUUCCUCGAACAUGUCGUACGCCAAGUCGUCGAACAACCCGUCCGGGUCGUCGUCCUCCUCGAGCUCGUUCAUCACCUCCUCUACGUUCCUCUCCAGCUCUUCGUCGUCCUCGUCGUCGAACACGACGAGAUGCGUCCGGCGCUCCGCGUCGUCGGCGGCGUCGUCCCCAGAAGUCUCCUUCGUCACCAGAAGCACCGGGUUCAUGGGCGCGUACACGAGGUACCGCGACCCCUUGGACGAGAACGUCAGGAUCUCGAUCCCUUCCGUCUCGUCGCCGGCGCCGUCCCCCGCGUCCAUGAGCAACGCGUCCGUCUCGUUGAACCGCACCGCGCCGCGCACCGUCAUGCAGAACGCGCUCCUCUGCAGCAGCAUGCCCUUGCUCGCGAGCGCGGAGGCCAUGUCCGGGAGAAUCUCCUUCAGCUCGUCGUCGCCGAUGUCGCUGAGGUCUUCGUUCGGGUCGACGCCCUCGCCGCGCAGGACGUCGAUGGGGUGGUCGAGCGGCAGGCACAGGCAUCGCUCCUCGCCGUUCGCGAGCUUGAAGCGGCGGCGGAGCAUGCAGAGGAGGGUUCGGUUCGUCUCCGGCUCGACGACGGUCGCGAGCGGCAUCGCGAGGGGGAUCUCGUCGGCGGACGACGCGGCGACGCGGAGCGACGCGGAACGUCGCGGACGACGACGACGAGAAUAAUGCGAUGAACGAUGAGAAUCGACGCGAUUCUUCAAUCCUCCGACGCCGGGGCGGGCGUCGCGGCGCGACGACGCGAGCGCCGCGGCGCGCGGAGUGGCGACGCGCGCGCAUCGCGCGUGCGGCGACGCCGCGGCGUGCAUCGUGGUCGUGAUCGCGCGCGUCGUGGACGCGGUCGGCGGGUGCGCUUCUGCUUGUGACGACGAGCCGCCGUCAUCGAUCAGGCUGGGGGCUUUUGGCGCUUUUCGCGGCGCGCGCGGCGCGCGCGUUUCCGGCCCGGCGAUCGCGACGGUUUGCCUCCCCCGUCGCGUCCGUCGCCGCGUCCCUCCCCUCCCGCGUCGCGUCACACCGCCGCCGCGCGCACCCUACGCCCGCGCACGCUCGAAUCGCCUCACCUAAAGAACCCGCCGAAAGAACAUGUCCGCGCACUUCCAAGAGGAGCAGGCGUUCCCGGACGAGUGCGCCAACUGCGGCGGAAGGGAGGACCUCGCGCUGUGCUCGCGAUGCCACAGCGCGCACUUUUGCUCGCGGAAGUGCCAGAAGGCGUACUGGCCGUUCCACAAGGAGUGGUGCAAGCGGAACGACUUCGCGGAUCACGUGGAGAAGACGCAGCCGAAGUUCGCGCGAUUCCUGCGGAAGCACGGGAAGCAGGCGGUCCUGAAAGACGGUGCGAGGCGCGCGCGAUCCCAAACGAUCCAUCCCGCGCGACGAUUCGAUCUCGAAUCUUAGCGUCCUCGAACGCACGUCGCCUCGUUUCAUUUCAUUUCAUCAUGAUCAUUCCGCGAACGCGUCUCAAACGCGGAAUCCAUCCCGCCCGUCCCCAACGUCGCGUUCUCAUCAUCGUCCUCCUCCUUCGCGUCGCAGACGAGGUCGAUCGCGUCGAGCGCAAGGUGGUCAGCGUAGCUGACAUGUACGGCGACGCCAACCCCAAGCCGAAGCCGCCGAACUUCGACGCGGAGGACAUGCGAAAGAUGAAACUCGCCGACGAGCGUCGCUUGAUGGCGCUUCGCGACGCGGACCGUCACACCGUCGCCGCGCGCGUCGCCGGCGGCGCCGUCGCCGGCGCCGCCGCGAUCGCGUGGGGAGAGAUCGAAGUCGCGGAGGGCCUCGGCGUGGACGACGACGCCGGCCUGGGGAUGAAGUGGCGGCAGAAUCAGGUGCGUUCUAUACAAACGAAUUUCACCCAUCGCUCGGUUUCAACACUUGAUCGCUCCCCCUUUCAACUGACCGAUGAACUCUUUUUGUAUGGAACGACCAUCAGACGUUCGUGGAGGUUUUCGUGUUGCUUCCGACGGGGUGCCCGGGCUCGCGCGUGGACGUGAAGCUCGAGACGGACCGCAUCAGGGUCACCGUCAAAGGUGCGCGCGCGCGUCGCCCACCAAUCACAUUCGCGCUUUCCUUCCCGUCCACCAAUCACGUGGCACGACGCCCGCCGCGUCGGUCGUUGACGCCUUCUUACUCGCCGACCGCGACAGGCGAAGACGUCAUCCGCGGCGAGCUGUACGCGCCGAUCAAAGCCGAGGCGUCGACGUGGUUGAUCGCCGACGGCGUCCUCGAGCUCUCCCUGCUGAAGCGCAACCGCAGAGGGAACUACGAGAACGGCUCGAACAACGCGGAGACGUUCUGGUUCUCCGUCGUGCGAGAAGACGGCGGACGGAGGGACGACGCCGCCGGCGACGCGCCGAGCGGUUAUGGGCGCCCCGCGAUCGGCCCGCCGCGCGUCGCGUCGAGCUACCCGCCGAACGAGUACUACGAGGUGCGUCUCGUCUCGUUUUUCGCCUUUCGCGCGCCCCCGCCGCUCGGUUUCAACGCGCGUCGAUCGAUCGCGUCGGUCCCCCUUUCGACUGACCCUUUCCGCCGACCGCCAGAGCGCCCACGUCGCCGCGCCGGAGGGCGACGGGCCCGGGUACAAGGGGCGGGCGAGCUCGAACCGGCCGAUGAUCAAGAACAAGCCGAACUAGGAGAGCGCGACGCGACGCGGCGGGAUGGGGACGGGCGGAAGAGAUCGAUGAGUGGAUGAAGAGCGCGAACGCGAGGGCUUUCGCGAAAGGAUUUGAUGUUUGGCUACGAUGCGGUUCUUUUCACCUCCACCGCUUAUAAACCGCCUUAUUACUACACCGCGACGUAGGAUCGCAACGCCGCGGCGAGGUCGCCGCCGUGCUCGCGUAACCUCAACUCCGCUGCCUUCUUCUCCACCUCCAUCUCGCUCACGAUCACCGCGACGUCCGCGGCGUCGAUCUUCACCUUGGCGAGCUCGCGCAGUCGCGCCGCCUCCGCCUCUUUCUCCGCCUUGCCCUCCUCCAGGAGCGCGCGCAGCGCCUCCGCGCGCGCGCCGGGCGUGACGACGUCCGCGGCCGCGGCGUCGUCGCCGUCGUCGUCGCGCCCGCCGAGACGAUCGAGUCCUUUCGACGCCUCCGCGGCGGCGCCGGUCUGCGCGGGCGCGACGUCUUCGAUCUCGUCGUCGUCGUGCUCGCCCAUGGUGGUGUGGCGGCAGCAACGCGCGCUGUCGACAUCUGAUGCGCGUCGUUCGACGAUGCGUUUCAAACCAAGCCCCGAUCGAGCCAGCCGGUCAAACUGACCCGCACUUCUCCCAACCGACCGAUAACCGACCGCGAAAAGCGCUGAUUUCACCGCACGACCCGCGCGACUUUCCUCGGUCGUCCGCUCACAACGACCGAACGCCGCGCGGGGCGUCCCGGCGCCGUCUUCGCCGCCGCGGCGCGACGGCGCGCGCGGUGGACGGCACGGCGCGCGUCGUCGUCGUCGUCGUCGUCACUCGAUGUCUUCUCCGUCGGGCCGGGCGCGGCGCGAGGACGGAACCGCGAGAUCGCGAUCGACGCGGUCGUCUCGGUGCUCCAAGCCGUCGUCGUCGUCGUCGCUCCUCCUUUCGCUCCUCCUCCUCCUCGCGUUGACGCUCGUCGCGGCGACGGCGCGCGUCGUCGUCGCGUCGUCGUCGUCGCCAUCGUCGCCGCCGCCGUCCGACGGCGCGGACGACGCCGCGGGCGGGAUCCCCGUCCUCGAGCCGGGAGGCGUCGGCGACGACGACAACGGCGGCGGCGGCGGCCCGCGGCGGCGCGUUCGGUUCGGCGAGAGAGUCGCCCUCGAGGAUCUCGGCCCGAUCAUCGUGAACGACGACUGCACGAUGCGGCGGAUAUCGAACUGGGACGCGCUCAGCGCGAGGGAACGACGCGGGGUGAGCGCGCGCGUCGUCGAGAGGAACGCGGCGCGGUUGGCGCGGUGUCGCGAGGCGGACGCCGCCGGCGGGGACGGGGAUGGGGACGGCGGGGACGGGGACGGGGGCGGGGGCGGGGACGGUGGGGUGGGGGACGACGCGGCGGCUUCGAUCGGCGGCGACGUCGAGCGCGUCCGCGGGGACGAGCGCGGAGACGACGGAGACGUCGCGAGAGAGAGGGGCGGCAGAGAGGAGUUGUAGAAGCGUACAGUAGAUAUCGAAACGAAACAGAAGAAUAACGGAAGAGAAGGAAAAAUCUAAAAGUAGUCCGGCCCUGUUCAUCGGUCAAUUGAAAGAGCACGCGAUCAAAUGUUGAAACCGAGUGGUGGGUGAAAAAGGUUCGCGCGCUUGCUAAACGAAGCGAAGAAAUCUUACACGUGGACGUGUUUCCUGUGAGCACGAUAGGGCAAAGAUCUCGCGCUCCAUUCGAAGGGGCGCGCGCCCGUCUCGCCGCCGCGUCGCGUCAUGCCGGAGGGCGAUAAACCCCCUCCCCCUGCGGAGGGCACGCCGGUCUCCGUGACCGUCGGCCAGCCCGCGCCGCCCGGCUCGACCGCGAGUCUCGCGCGCGCGCACCCCGUCGAUCUCGCCGGCUCGGGGCCGUCGCAAACGGGCCCGCCCACGACGAACGGCGCGAUUCCCGUCGCGCCCGCGGCCUCGAGCGAGACCCCGCACCGCGCGGACAUCAGCGUCACGCAGUGGAGCGGCCAGGUCGCCCCGCGCGGCGUCGCGAUGCACCCCGCGCUCGGCCCGAUGUACGCGCACGACGCGAACUACCUCCUCUCCACGACCGCGGACCUCGACCCGGACGUCUACCCGCGCGGGAUGGGGAUGCGCGUGCUCCCGAGCGCGCACGAUCUGGGGCACUUCGACGGCCGCGUCCUCGACGCGUCGUCGUCGUACUACAGCACGAACCUGUUCGACUGCCACAAAGAUCUGGACGCGUGCGUAUGGGGCGCGCUGUGCACGCCGUGCCAGCUCGGCGAGUCCGCGCGCGACGGACGCGCGGGCGACUGCUGCGGCGUCGCGACCGCGAUCGUCGUCUCGCUGGGUCUCCUCAACCAGCUGCUGCCGUGCCUGGGCAACUUCGUCGCGGGCGGCUUCGCGGCGACGGUGACGAACCGCGUCGCGCUCAAUUACGGCAUCACGGAGCCGACGGACCUCAUCACAGCGUGCGCGUGCAUGCCGUGCGUGUCGUGCCGCCUCGCGCGCGAGAUCAAGCGCCGGACCGCGAUGGGACAGGAGCCGAUCGACUUCCAUCAGUUGUGGCUGGCGUCGGGCGGGAGAAUAAACCCGUGGCAGUUCGCGGAGCUGGCGCGCCCGCGCGCGCAGGAGAUGUCGCGCGACGACGCCGACGGGGAACCGACCAGCCGGGAUACGAUGGUGACGUACGUCGCCGUGGUGGGAGGGGACGACGCCGACGGCGUGCAGGUGCAAGGGGUCGCCGUCGCGGAGGAGUGCGGGGGGGACGGGAAAGGCGCGGCUAAUGCGGCGGCGGCGAAGGAGGCGGCGCCGGACGCGGACGGGGACGAGAAGCUUCUCCCGCAGGUGUGAUCCGAUCCGAUCGUGUUUGUUUGCAGUAGUGUACCCUCGCUUGUAACACCAGACGAUUCGCCGACCCGAGCCGGGUCGCGCGCGACAACAGAAACUAGAGCAUGAGUUGUCUACUACCUUCGUACGAAGGUAUGAUAGAUCUACGCGUCUGCUCGUAAACAGAAGAAAGACGCUAAAAGGCGUCUUCACCACCACCCGCUCUUUUUCUUCGCCUUCGCCUUGACGUGCUUGAGUCUCUUCGCGAGCGCCGCGUUCGCCUUCGUCCGCGAGACGGCCAGCUUCUCCAACGCGGCGCCGAGCGCCUCGCGUUCGAACAUCAGAGGCACGAGUCCGGCUUGGCGAAUCUCCACUACCAGGCACCUCCCGUCGUCGCCCUCGUUCCCCUCCUCCUCCUUCUCCGCGCCCGGGAGCUUCGCUAUCAUGUUCGGCAUCGCCCGCACCGUCGCGCACCGCGCGCCGUCGUCCGAGUGCGCGGCCAUCUCGCCGAAGACCUCGCCGACGCGCAGCGUGCCGAGCGCGACGCGCUCGCCGUCGGGCGUCGUCGUCGACGCCUCCAACUCGCCCGACGCGACGACGAAGAUCGACCCGCCGCGUUCGCCCUGGGAUAUCACCGCGACGCCGGGGUCCACGGCGUAGCACUCCGCGUGCCCGGCGUCGAACAGCGACGCGACGUCCGCGGUGGACAGCGCGCGGAACACCUCGACGUGGUCGCGCGUCCACUCGCCCCACCGCCUCGGCGGCCACGCUUCCAUGCCUUUUUUGGUAAUUUUCGUCUCGUCCCCUCCCGGCGUCGACGCGCCGCCCGGGGUAUCCCUCCCGUCGCCGCCGUCCAUCGUCGCGAGCGAUCGCGACGAGCUCGAUCGCUGGCUCAGGCUCGCGCUUAGGCGUCGCUUCAUCGACAGCGACGCGCCGAGCGCGCGCUUCCAAUUCGAAUUCGCGUCGGCGUCGCCCCCCCCUCGACCUUGAGCAUCGAUGAGCUCGCGGACGGUCUCCUCCACGCCGCCCAGCGCGUCGAGGACCUCGCGGUGCAUCUCCUCUCUCGCCGCCGUUUGCUCCUCGUGUCGCCGCUCGACCGCGUCGAUGAUCUCCGGGAGCGCGAUCUGCGCGGUCUCGUGCACCACCGCGACGGCGCUGCGGUGUUGAAACUCGCGCGUCAUCUUCUCGCCGUGCUCCGCGAGCGCGCCGGUCAGCGGGUGCAGGACUUGGUCGCGCAGGUUGAACACGCGCUCGUUCGUCUCCGCGAUCGAUCUCGCGAGCGUCUCGACGACGGCGCGAAGCUCCGAGAGCUCCGCGCUGUUGCGGUAGUUGGACGCGAGGAUGUCGUUCUGCUUCGCCGCGAUCGAAGCGAUGGCCGCGUCGAGAUGCGCGAUUCCCGGGUCCGCGCGCAUGACCGGGCCGCCGUAGCCGUACUUUGGCUUCAGCGAGCGCAUCUUGUCGAGGUAGAUGGCUUCGACGUCCGCGGCGUGCGGGUCCGCGGGAGGCAUCGCGGCGGCGGAGUGACGCGCGGCGCGGCGCGGCGCGUUCUGUCGGAUUCUGUCGGAAUUGCCGAGAGUCGCGUGCGGUGCCGAGAAAUUUUGAUUUCGCUCCAGUCGUCUGUGCGCCUACGCUACGUCGACGCCUCUAUCGCUCGCGCGGCCGCGUCGUCCUCGACCGCAUAUGCCUCCUCUUCCUCCCCCGCGCCCCCUACCCCCUCCCCACCCCCACCCCCGCCCUCGCCUCGCGUCGGACGCGCGCGCAGCCAGAUGUUCAGCGCGAAUUUCUCCCCCGCCUCCACGGGCUCGCCCGCGUGCGUCGUCCUCGGAUCCUCCUUUCCGUCGUCGUCGACGUUCCACCACAGCACCGCGUCUCCCACCCUGGGGUCGAACCCCAGAUGAAGCUUCGGGAACGUCGUCCGACCGCCGCGCGUCGGCUCGCGGAGGUACGCGAGGAGCGUCACCACGCGCUGGCCGCCGCGCCGGGUCUUUUCCUCGAACGUCGCGCCCGCGGGGUCGAACCAAUCGCAGUGUGGAUCGUAUUUCUGAGAAGGGAGGUACCUUACGACUUGCGCGGGCUCCGCGUGCGCGGGAGUGAGGUUGGAGAGGUAGCACGCGCGCUGCACCGCGGCGCGAACCGCGGGGUGUGUGGACGCCACGCGCGCGUUCCAGCUCGUGCGGCCUUCGGACGUCUCGCCCGUCGUCGCCGCCGCGUCGGCGUCGGCGGCGGCGGCGUGUCUCACCACGAGCGAAGGAUGCAACGCCGGAGCGGCGACCCGUAUGAUCUCCUCCGCCUCGUCGCGCGUGAGGAACCCCGAGAUGGCGAACAUCCGCGGAUGACUCGAGACGCGCUUCGCGCGCACGACGCGCCCGUGGCACGACGUCAGCGUCACCGUCUCGCGAAGCGGGUCGCGCCACGUGACGUACCUCCACCGCUUUGGAAGCGACGGGAACGCGCGCAGGUCCGAUACCGUACCGCCCCUGUGCGUCAUCUCGUACCGCACGAGCUGCGCGAGGAACGACGGGUUCGGGCACGCCUUCGGCCUUCGCGAGCGUAUCCGCUCCAGGGCCUCGCCGAGGGAGUGGCCCUCGUGCUUCGUCAGGUACGCCGCGACCGCAGCCGCGGACCGCGACUGUCCGAACGCGCAGUGCACGAGGACGCGCGCGCGGGACGGCGCGCUCGCCUUCGCGGCGGCGAUGAACGCGCCGACGUCGUCGAGGUGCGAGCUCAGGAGGUCCGCCGCGCGCGUGUCCUCGACCUUGACGAUCAGGCGCGCGAUUUUCGUUUUCGUUUCCGCUUUCGACGACGACGACGACGUCGCGUCCGCGUCGACGUCGGCGUCGUCGAGAUCGAGGCAGCUCGGGGGCGGGCGCUUCAUCAUCGUGACGACGUGCGUCACGCCGGCGUCGCGGAGGAUCUCGCCGCGGUUGCGCCCCACAGACUCCUGCGAGCCGACGUAUAAGAAUCCGUCGAGGACGUCCGUCGCGUCCGGGAUGUCCGCGGGCAUGUUCGACCGCGAGGCCCCCGGCCGCGCGGCCGGGAGUGAUGACGGAUGUCAACUUUUCGUUAUCGUCGUCCGUCCCGAGAACUUGCCGUUUGCGAGACGAGUUCAUCAACAUGAGACGCACAACCCCCCGCGCGGGUCGCCCGUCGCGAUGUCCGCCGCCCCGACCCCCGGCCGCGACCCCGCGGCGGACCGCGAAGCGCUCAGGCAGGCGACGCUCGAGGCGGCGCGAAUGCGCGAGCGCGCGGAGACGCUCGAGACCGCGCUGCGCGAGGCGUCGACGAGCCGCGCGAGCGAGCGCGAGGGAUGGCGCGCGAGGUUGGAGCGCGCGGACGAGCGCGUUCGGCUGGAGCGCGUCCGCGUCGAGGCGCUCGAGGUGCGUCCGGUCCCGGUCGUCGUCGCGACGCGAUAUGCGACGCGCCGCGGCGCGGCCCGUCGCGCGCGAACUCUCGGCGGCGGCGGCCCGCCGGCCGUCGCGUCGCGGGCGUCGUUCAGAUUCGCGUCGCGUCGCUCGCGCGGCGCGCGCUUUUUCCCCUCCCGCUCGCGUCCCUCCGGGGGGACCCGCGGCCUCUCUCGCCGACGCCGACGCCCGUCCCACCCCACCGUCUGUCGUCCUCAGGUCGCGCUGGGCGAGCGCGAGCGAACGCCGCCGCCGCCGCCGUCGACGUCGAGCCGCGAGGAAGACGCGGAAGACGAGGUCGAGACGGACGAACCCUCAUCAUCGACGUCGCUCGCGGCGACGCGGCGCGGGGCUGGACGCGUCGCCGCCAGAACGUCCUCCUCCUCGGCUUCGCGCGUCGUCCGCGACCUCACGUCCUGGAAAGACCCCUCCGCGUCCGGAAAAGUCUUCGGCGGCGGCCUCUACGCGCUCGUGUGCGCGCACUCGCUGCGCACGGCGGCUAUCCCCGCGAGCGCGGUCCUCUGCGCGUGCGUCAUGGCGACGCUGUCGUCGACGCUCGCGUGGAAGCUCUUCUCGCGGCUGCGCGCGGGGGUCGGCCUCCGCGGCGUCGAGGCGUGGCGCGAGAGCGAAGACGCGUCCGCGGCGAAGCGGCGCGACCGCGAGGCGUCCGCGCGGCGAGUCGCCGCGAAGUUGGGGGGAUGGGUCGCCGCGACCGCGUCGAGAUGCGCGCCCGCCGCCGCGGAGUCGUGGCUCUUCGUCGAGAAGAUCGUGACGUGGGCGCAUCCGCCGAGCACGCUCCGCGCGUGCUUCGUCGCGUGGGUCAGCUCGCUCGUCGCGCGCGUGUGGUGGCUGUCCGCGAUGACGACGGCGACGACGUUUUGGAUCCUGGCGUUCGCGGCGCCGCCGUUCCUCGCGGCGUUCGGACCCGCGGCGGCGGCGGCGUCGCGCGCGUUCGCCGCCGACGCCGCCGCUCGAUUCGCGCACGUCCUCAACGACCGGAGGUUCCAGCUCGGGUUCGUCGGGUUCGUGUGGACGCACGCGGGCGUCGCGGGGAAGACGCUGCUGGUCCUCGCCGCGGUGACGCUCGUGCUGACCGUGUCCCCGGGGGAGCCCGCGCGGGACCAGGGCGAGACGGCCGGCGGCCGGCGGCGUUCGAGCGCGGCGGCGGCGAGGGGACCCGGCAUAAUAGCGGGGAGGGACGACGCGACGACGACGGUCAGCGGGAGCGUCGUGAUCACGGAGCUGCCGGCGUCGCCGACGCGGAAGGCGGCGACGACGGCGACGACGAGGGUGGCGGAGACGAGGAGGAGGGCCGCGGCGACGGCGACGACGACGGCGCCGCCGAGGCGGAUGUCUUUUUUCGGCGGGUACGGCCGAAGAGCCGCCGCCGCCGUCGCCGCGUCUGCUUCUUCGCCAAAGUCGGAGCGGGACGCCCCGGGCAGAGGCGGCGACGAGAACGUCCCGCCGUGGGGCGGGGACUCGCCGACGACGCCGACGACGAAGCAGCGGCGGGCGGGCGCGGAGGACGCCUUCGGCGGCAGCGUGGAGAAGCGGCUGUCGCUCUCGCGUCGGCGGAUGAUCGCAGAGCGCGCGCGACGGCUCAUGGCGGACUCGGACGACGACUGACCUGACCUGACUGGCGCCCGGCGCGAGUCGCGGGCAUCUGAUCGCGAUAGAAUACAUCGAAAGAGAAAAAAAUACGCAUGACGUGCUACCGUUUCGCCGCCGCCGCCGCGCGCCGCCGCGCGACGAGCGCUUUUUUCUCCGCGAACGCGCGCAAUCCAUCUUCCCACGCUCGUUCGGUCAUCCCGCCGACGCACAGCACGCACGUCACGCCGAGCGUCGCCACGUCCCUCGUGUUUUGCUCCUCGUUGUCGAAGAAGAGCAUGUCCGCGUACGGUAUCCCAGUCCGCGCCUUGAGCUUCUCGAAGUGUCGCUUCUUCGUCCCCGAAUACAUCUCCACGAGGUCUCCCACGCACUCGCGCAUCGUCGUCGUCGUCCCGCUCCCGCUCCCGUCGUCGACGACGAACAUCCCCAUGACCUCGUCCGCCCACGCGCCGCGAUUCGUCCGCGACGCGACCGCGAUCUUCGUGCCUCUCUUCGCGAACGCCGCGUGCGAGCGCAGCAUCGCCAUCGCGGCCGUCGCGGCGGGGUAGCACCGGAGCUCCUCGCCGCUCGCGUCCAUCACCCUCUCGCGCCCAGUGGUGUCGCACCUCUCCUUCGUCCACGGCGCGCCGCGCAUCAUGUACAGCUCCGGGAACCAUAUCGUGUCGUCCAGGUCGAAGCACACGAGCGCGGGGAGGUCCUGGCCGUCGAGCGGUGGGGCCCACAGCGUCGCGGGCGCGUCCAUCGUCUCGUCGUUCGCGGCGCGGUGCGGUCGCCGCCGAGGAUGGCGCGUCCUCGUCUUUUGACGCUCGGCGCCUCCGCUGCUCAUCACGCCGCCGCGGCCUCGGCCGCCGCCUCUGCGGCCGCCCGAGCCGCGGUCGCCGCGGCCGCCUCCGCCUCGCCGCGCGACCGGCGCGAGCGUCGCGAGCGUCGCGAUCGUCGCGCUCGCCAUGGAGUGACGAGGGAGGCUCCGGCGACGCGACCGUCGACGCUCGGCGCGCGUUCCGGGACCGUUCCGGAGGCGGGGGCGGGGGCCGACUCGCGCAGGACUCGCGCGUCAUCGUCAGUCCGGAAUUUUCGCGACGAGAAUGGUGGCGGCGUCGCUCAGUGCCAUCGUCGCAGACGCACGUUCACCAUGGGCAAGGACGGCAAGACCCCGAAGAAGGAUAAGAAGGAUAAGAAGGAGGGCAGCGACGACGGCGACGGCGCGCUCAGGCCGGUCUGCGCGAUCGCGAAGCCGCUCGCGGACGUCGGCUUCCACAAGAAGAUCCUCAAGGUCGUGAAAAAGGUGCGCGUCGCCAUUCCUUCCGAUCCGCCGAAAACCCGCCCGCCGAUCCGCGUCCCCCCCUCGCUCGCGUCGUCGCGCGACUGACCCAUCCCCGCCGGCGUCCGUCGCGUCCAUCGCAGGCCUCGAAACAUAAGCAGGUGAAGCGCGGCGUGAAGGAGGUGGUGAAGGCGCUGCGCAAGGAGACCAAGGGGUGCGUCGAUCGCUCGCGGCGAUCCCGCGGGCGAUUCAUCGUCGUCCGUCGUUCCGAGCGAAUUCCUUCCCCACAACAGCAUUUUUUCCCUUUCCGAUCCUCGACCCCCCGCCCGCAAACCUCGCCGCUGACCGCCCCCCCCCCUCUCUCCCCACCUGAACGAACGACAAAACAGGCUGUGCGUGAUCGCGGGCGACAUCUCCCCCAUCGACGUCAUCUCGCACAUCCCGAUCCUCUGCGAAGAAGCCGGGGUGCCGUACGUGUACGUCCACAGCAAAGACGAGCUCGGCGCGGCGGGGCAGACGAAGCGCCCGACGAGUUGCAUGCUCGUGCUGCCGGAGGCGCAGAAGGGCGGGGAGAAGAUGAGUGGCGACGACGCGAAGGAGUUCAAGGACAUGUACGGGAAGGUCGUCGCGAAGAUCGGGUCGCUACACUAGACGGAACGGAAGAAGUCGGUCGUCGACGCGAGUGUACGCGCGUGUAUAAAUAAAUUCCCACCAGUCUAACGCCGCCGAGAAGCGUAAGCGCGCGUCGUCUAAGGACUAAUAGGAGCGACUAUGUACCGUUCCUCGGUCACAUGAUGAACUUCGGCUUGCCGCGUCCCUUCGCGCCGAGCACCGGCCGCGCGAGUCCGGCGUCGUCGUCGUCGUCGUCCGAGCUCGCGCUCGCCACCUUCUUCCUCGCCCCCGGACGCGCUUUUCGGCCGUUCCCGCCGCCGCCGCCGCCCUCCGUCGACGCCUUCGCCGCCGCCUCCUCCGCCGCCUUCGCCCUCUUCUUCGCGGCUCUCUCCGCCUCCGCCGCCCGCUCCUUCUCUUUCGCGUCCUCCUCCUCGUCGUCGUCGUCCGAGCUCGUGUCGCCGACCGACGCGUCGUCGUCGUCGUCGUCGUCCUCCCUGUGCCGCUUCCUAAAGGCCGCCGCCUUGGCCUUCAUCGCCGCGAUGCGCUCGCGGUGCGCCUCCUGCUGCCGCUGAAUCUCCUCGUGAUACCCCUCCGCGUCCCUUCUCUCCUGCGCCUUCUUCGCGCGCAACAUCAACCCCGGGUCGAGGCGGCACUUCUCGUUGAACGCCUUCGUCGCGAAUUUCCGGAGCGCCUCGCCUCGGCGCGCGGGGUCGCGCAGCGCGCGGUUCGCGUCCGAGAGCUUGUCGAACGCGAUCUUCGCCUCCUCGCUCGGGUUCUUGUCCGGAUGCACGCGCAGCGACGCCUUGCGGAACGCCUUGCUCACGACGCCGUCCGGGACGUCCCACACCGGCUUCCCCGCGUCGUCGCAGUCCGGGAGCGGGAGCCCGAGCGCGGUGAAGAAGUCGCCGUCCGCGUGCGCGCGGACGAUGCGCUCCGCGGCCGUGGGGUCCGGUUUGUCGUCGUCGCUGUCGCUCUCGCCGGGGAGCGGGCGGCGCGCGGACGCCGGCGCGGCGCGAGCCGCGGCCUCGUUGAACAUCCGCUCGAGCCGCUCCAUCUCGCGGAGAGGACGCGCGGACGGACGGACGCGCGGACGACGACGACGAACCGCGCGGGCGCGAAGUGAUGAACGUGAAGAUGUGCACUCUGCGUCGUCGUCCACGAGUCGAGUCCUGUAGCAGGUCAUCGUCGCGUCGCUGUCGUUUUUCAUUUUUGGCGCGGACUACGCGAGCGUCGCGUGUGUACAUUCAACGUCUAUUACAGUACGAUACCCUGGGGGACGGCAGGCUCUCAGUUUACCUUCGCUUCGCUUCUCUUCUCUUCGCCUGCACUUCACCUCCCCCGCGAGCGCGUCAGCGAGAGCGGGACGCUCCGCGGCGCCUGCCGCAUCGUCUUCUUCGCCGCGAAAAACGCGACGCUCUCCGGAUCCUCGCUCGCGAUCUUUUGCAGCUCCAUGCUCACGAACUGCUCGCCGUAAUCGAGCUCCUCCUCGCUCGCGCCGACGCCGCCGAUCUGCCCGUGCCCGCCGUCGUCGUACCACCGCUGAAACUCGCGCAGAAGCUCGGCGCGGCACUCCUGCACCGCGGUCACGUGCGGCGCGACUGCCGUCUUGAGAUCCUUCACCUCGUCGUACGCGCGGCGGUACUCCCCCUUGGUCGCCUUGAGCCGCGCCAUGGCGGCGUACGUCUCCUCGUCGAUCACCUCGUCCGCGAGCAUCGAGGUCGCGGAAGGGUCCGCGCCCGCGCCCGCGCCCGCGACGGAUCCGCCGGGGCUCCCUUCCCGCGAAGGCGUCGCCGCGGCCGCGCCGGAUCCGGACGCGGACGCCUCCGCCUCCGCGUCGAGACGAAGCGUCGACGCCUUCGCCGAGAGCUUCUCGUCCGCCGCCGCCGCCGAGCGCAUCUCUUCCACGACGACGGACAGCUCGUCGAUGCUCGCCUUGGCGGCGUUGACGACCUCGACCGCGGCGUUGAGCUCGACGCGCUUGACGCGCAGGGUCUCCACCUUGUCGCGGAGCUCCGCGGCUCUCUCCGGGGCGAUCAUCUUUUUGUAGAUUGCAAACGCGGAGUUCUUCUUCGAGUGGACGCUCAUCUCCGGCGCGAGAAUCGGCGGCCGCACGCCCGUCCCGCCGAGCGCGCCCGCGAGCUGCGCGUUCGCGGACCGCGGGCGGUCGGAAUCCGGGUCCGCCGGCGGCGCCGCGUCGUCGGGCGCGACGCCGAGGUGGAACCCGCCGUCGCCGUCGUCGACGUCCCCGACCUCGUCGCCGUCGCCGUCGCCCUCCGCGGCGGCGGCGCCGUCUUCUUCUCCCUCCGCCGCGGAAGGCGCCUCCUCCGCGUUUUGCGCCUCCGCGGUGGUCUCUUCCGAAGAGACCGCCGCGUCAUCCUCCGCGGGCGGCGACGGCCGCGCGGCCAUCUCCGCGGCGUGUUCCUCGCGCAUCUGCAGAUGGAACGCCUUGAACAGCUUGAACGUCUCUCUCACGCGCUUCAGGGAAUCGCACGGCAGCUCCUCCAGCGUCGUCAUCCCGUGCACGUAAUCCCUCACCUUUUCGCUCAGCUCCGUGCGCUCGAUCUCGGAUAAGUCGCCGUAGUUGACCGUCUCGCGGUUCGCGAACGUGUCCCGCAUCGCGAGCUCUUGCUUCAGCUCCUGGACCUGCCGCUCGUACUUGCGAAGCAGCACCCGCGGGUCUUUGCUCUCGUUGAUCACCGGGUUCGUGCGCAGCGUCCGCACGCGGCCGCUAAACCGACACGUGGACACCGUCUCCUCCACGUGUCCAAACUCCGGCCACACGCACGCGAUCAUGACCGUCUUGCAGUUCCCAAUCAACGAAUCGCGAAGCACGCUCGUGAGCUUCGAUUGGCGGUACGGAAUCGCCUUGUCCUUCCUCGACAUCGCCAUCACCGUCUGCUCCAGCAAGCUCAGCGAUCGGUUGAUGAACGUCGCCUCUUUGAACAGCGCGCCGGUGACGUGCGACUUCUUCACGCGCUCGCUCCCGGCGAGAUCGACCAGGUGAAGCUUCGACACGAUCGUCUUAUCCGGCCCGUCCCCUGUCGCGCGUUGCUCCAGGUGAAUCGUGAAGACGCAGUGCGAGCGCGAGGAGGAUUUGUUGAGCGCGUGCGCGGCGACGGCUCUGUUGGCGUCCCCCGCGAAAAACGCCGCCAGCGCCUCCGCCUCGCUCGCGACGUACUUCUUCGUCAGACCCUUCACUCGCACCUCGUCCCCGCGCUCGACGAUCGUGAGGGACUCUCGGCGCGACGGGAUCCCGCCGUCCUCGGAGGAGUCCGCGAGGAGGUCGUACAUCUGCUCGUUGUAAAUUUCGAGGUAGGAGACGCGAACGACUUUUUCCUUCUCCACUCGCAGGUCCAUCUCGUGGAAGAUGUGGUGGACCGCUCUCGGGACGACGCCGCGCUGCUUGUAAUCGCCCGGCUCGCCCGUCAUCGUGAACGUCUUCCCCGCGCCCGUCUGCCCGUACGCGAACACCGUGCCGUUGUACCCGUUCAUGACGUUAUCCACCACCUCGCUCGCGCAGUGAUCGUAGACGCCCUCCUGGUUGAUAUCCUUGAGGACGUUGUCGAACGUGAACGCGAAGCCGUCCGCGGCGUUGUUGACGUCCAGGCCUCGUCGCGCGGCGGUCUUGUCGGGUUUGAGGUCCACGUUGACGGUCUUGUUAUCCGCUUGCACGCUGCGGGUGGAGGACGCGGGGGGGGGAGAGGUCAAGGUCAGCGGUCGGGUCGGGACGGAGUCGCGACGAUGGACUGCGUCGCGUGCGCUUCAGCGGGGGGACGACCGACGGCGAUGACCGGGGAUCUAUCGAGCGCGUCGGACGGGGCACGCACACGAACGAGCCCUCAUCGUCGAUGCACGGCCGCGCGCGGAGGAACACCUUCACCGCGCUCGUCGUCGCGUCGCGCGGAGCGGGCUUCAUCGCGCCUCUCGCGUCGAGACGACGCGCGCCGCCCGUUGUCCCCGCGCGUCGGUCAAUCCGACCCCUAAAUAGGCUUCGCUUCGUCGGAAGGGGUAAACUGUGCGACCGACCGCGAUGGAAGUCUGGUGGAAAGGGGGACGAGCGACGCGCGGCGCGCGGCACACGCGUCGACGCGCGCGAUGCCGUCGUUCGACAAGCAAGUAUCGCGCCCGGCCGCGAAGGCGGGCGCGCCGGCGCCCGCCAGGGCGCGAAGCGGCGGGCCAGGUGCGUCGUCGCAUCCCGCGCGCGCGCGUCAUCUUCCGCUUCCGCGUCGCCUCGAUCUCGAGCGUUUCGCCGUUUCGUACUCCGUCGCGCGAACGAUGGUUCCGAGAAGACGUCCACGACGACCCCCGCCGACGACGCGUCCCGCCGCGUCCCUCCCCGAUCGUCCGCGCAGACCCGUUCGUGAUCGCGCACGUGCACAAGCAGUCCGACGCGGAGGCGUUCUUCGAAGCGCGGUUCGGCCUCGAGCCGUCUUCGAACGACGUCCGCUCCCCGCUGCGCGACGGCUCCAACCGAGCGAAGCCGUCCACCUCGGAGCGCGGCGGCCCGACGUCCGCGGCUGGCAAAAAGAUCGCCGACCUCCAGACGAAGCUCGCGCACGCGAUGGCGGCGGUCCAAGAGGGCGACGCCGCGACGGAGCAGGCGCGGAUCGAGCGCGAGCGCGCCGCGGUGGCGUGGGCGGACGCCAUGGCUGCCGCCGACGCCGCGCGCGAAUCCGCCGUCGCCGACGCCGCCGUCACCCGAGACGGCGUCCAAAGAGCGCUCGAGCGCGAGGUCAGCGAGCUGCGCGCCGCGCUCGCAGCGGCGGAGACGAUGAACGCGCGCGCCAAGGCGGCGGAGGCGGCGACGCACGCCGCGGGCGCGAAAGCCGCCAAGGCGAAGAACGACAAGCUCGCGGCGCGCGUCGCGUUGUUGACCGAGGCGCGUAUUGGUUCCUCACACCGGUUCCCAUACGAUCCCGUUCGCGCGGUGCACGCCGUUCCUUGAGGACUUUCGCCGUCGCAUCUCUCCGCCCACACCUCGCUUUCAAUCCCCGACCACGACGCCUUUCAACUCCGCUUCUGACGCCUUUCAACUCCACCCCGACGUGGCUUCGCACGGAACGCGCCUCAGGAGGCGGAGGACGCCGAACGGAGGGCGUCGGACGCGUCCGCGGCGUCAGACGCGACGCGCGCGGAGCUCGCGGAGACGAAGCGCGCGAUGGAGAAGAUCGCGAGCGAGAUGGAGACGCUGAAGAAGGCUGGCGCGGUCGCGAACGAGAUGCUCGCGGACGCGAAGGGAGAGCUCGAACGCGCGCGGGAGACGUCGCGCGACGGCGAGAAGCUCGCGGCGGAGGCGGCGGCGGAGGCGGCGGCGGCGGCGAGCGCGAGCGCGACGACGAUAGCCGAGCUCCGCGCCGCGCUGGAGACGACCGGGGGGUCGCGUCAGCGCGCGAUGGAGGAGCUCUCGAGGCUGCGCGACGACGCGACGACGGCGAAGGAGGAGUCGGAGCGCGCGAAGAAGACGGCGGAGGAGGCGGAUUUUUUGCGCGCGGCGACGGAGACCGAGCUCGCGAAGACGCGGCGAGACCUCGACGACGCGAACGCGCGCGCGUCCGCGACGGAAAGCGAGCUCGCGAAGACGCGGCGAGACCUCGACGACGCGAACGCGCGCGCGUCCGCGACGGAGAGUGAGCUCGCGAAGACGCGGCGAGACCUCGACGACGCCAACGCGUCCGCGUCCGCGUCCGCGACGACGACGCGCGACGAGGCGACGCGAGAGGCGCGAGAGAGCGCCGCGCGCGAGAUGGAGGAAACGCGCGCGACGCUGACGGCGCGACACGACGCCGCGCUCGCCGCGCUCGCCGCGACGCACGCGGCGACGACGAAGGAGUUGGAGGCGCGGUUGGACGCGGCGAGGGCGGACGCGUCCGAGGCGGCGGCGAGGGCGGAAGCGUUCGAAGCCGAAGCCGCGGCGACGACGAAGGAGUUGGAGGCGCGGUUGGACGCGGCGAAGGCUGACGCUUCCGAGGCCGCGGCGAGGGCGGAAGCGUUCGAAGCCGAAGCCGCGGCGAACGCCGCCGCCGCGGUCGUCGUCGCUCCCCCCGCCGCCGCGCCGCCGCCUCCCUCCGAGGAACUCGACGCCCUCAAAGCCGCGCACGCCGCGGAGAUGGCGAAGAUCAACGAGGCGAACGACGAGAUCGUCGCGUGGGCGCGACAAGCGGCGAAGGAAGAAGCCGAAGAAGCGCUCGGCGCCAACGCGAGAGACGCGCUCGCGAAAGCCGCGCGCGCGGAGAAGGCUCUGGAGGACGCGUCCCUGGAGCACGCGUCCCGCGUCGCGUCGUUGAAGCAGGUAACAACAGAACGUUUUUCACCCGUCCCUCGGUUUCAACAUAAAGUUGAUCGCGUGGGUUCCUUUCAACUGACCGAUGAACGAACGGCCCGCAGACGUUCAAGGAGGCGAUGGAGCGAAAGAACGAGGAACUCAAGGUGGCGCUCUCCGCCGCGCGUUCGAGCGGCGCCGACGACGUCGCGCGCGCGGAGGCCAAGGUGGCGUCCGCGACGACGGAGGCGCGCGCGAAGAUCGCCGCCGCGGAGCGCGCGGCGCGAGAGGCGAAGGCGGCGACGGACGCCGCGGAGGCGAAAGCGGCGGCGACGGAGAAGGCGCGCGACGACGCCGUCGAGUGUUUGAACGUCGCGCGCGCCGAGUGCGAGGCCGAGGUGAAAGCGGCCGAGCUGAGAGCCGCGAACGUGGAGUACGACCUCGAGACGCUUCGCAACCGGUUGCGGCAGUCCGAGAACGCGGGGAAGCGCGCGCUGUUGGAGCUCUCCGACGAGCUCGCGAGCGCGGAGCGCCGCGCGAUGGAGAAGGUGAUGAAGGUGCGUUCUCGCGAACGUUUCGUUUUGUUUUUCACCCGUCCCUCGGUUUCAACGUUUGAUCGCGUGGGUGGGUGGGUCCCUUUCAACUGACCGAUGAACACGUUUUGUACCCCUCUGCCUGAAGUCGGAGGAGGCGGCGAAGAAAGCGGACGCGACCAACGCGCAGCUCGCGCGCGAGCUCUGGGCGUGCCGGCAGAAGAUGGAGACGAACGAGGCGGAGCUUCGACGCGACCUCGAGCUGUCGCGGAAGCGCGCGAGCGACUUGCUCAGGGAGGUGAACGCCGCGCGCCGACGCGAAGCGAUGCGAGGCGGCGGCGGCGGCGGAGACGACGCGUCCGGGGCUGGGAGGAGCGCCGCCGACGCGGACGCCGUCGUCGCGGAGAUGCAACGCGAGCUCGAGGCGGAGAUCGCCGCGUCCGAAGCCGCGGCGGCGGCGUCCGCGAAGCGCGAGGGCGCGUCGCGCCGCAAGCUCGCGGACGUGAACACGAAGUUAACGGAAGCGGAGCACGCGUUACACGAGACGAAGAUUGCGCUCAUGAAGAGCGAGCGGCGCGCGAACGACUUCGAGAGGGACCUCGAGAAGGAGACGAGCAAGAGCGCGCGGCUCGAGUUGGCGUGCGCGAAGGGCGGCGUCAAGCUGCCGAAGUAGUCGCGCGUGAUAGCUAUCAUAUCGUAUUCAUUCGAUUCGACGACGACGACGACGUGCCGCGCGCUCACUCGUCGUCGUCGUCGUCGUCGUCGUCGUCCUCGGGCUCUGGCUUCCCCCGGCCUCUUCCUCCCCUCCCUCCUCUCCCCGGGCCCCUCCCCCCCCGCCCGCCCUUCCUCGCGCGGACUGCGCCGCGACUUUCACCACGACUCGACGCGGACUGCGCCGCGACUUUCGCCUCCUUCCUCGCGCGAUUCGCCGCGGACUGCGCCGCGACUUUCGGCGCGUAGUUCGUCCCCCAGUACAACAUCUCCGCCUUGACGUCCGCGUACGGCGCGCGCAACGCGUCCUCGCCGCAGAACACGAGCAUGUCGCACGUGCUCGGCCACGCCUCUUUAUUCUUCCGGAAGAUGUCGCGCACGCGGCGUUUCACCGAGUUUCGAUCCACCGCGCGCCUGAGAAGCUUCUUCGGGGCUUUGAUCCCCAGACGCGUGUUGUCCACGUCCGGGACGUCCGUCGUGUCGCACCACUUGAUGCGCACGAGCUUUCCGUUGAAGGAGCGUCCCGUGUUUUGCACGCGGGUGAAAUCCGCUUGCGUCUUGAGUCGCUCGCGCGGGCGGAACACCUCGCCGGCGAUGCUCUCCACCUGCGCGGUGCGCCGCGAGGACGGAGUGCGCCGCGUCAGAUGCAAUGCGCGCGGGCGUCGGGCCACACGCCGAGCGAGCGAGCGAUCGAACGAUCGAGCGAGAGAGAGAGCAGAGAAGAGAAAGGAAGAAAAUCGAGUCGUCGUCGUCGUCGUCGUCGUCGUCGUCGUCGUCUUUUCCGUCACGCAGACCUCGGCGCCAACCGAGGGAAACUGUUUCUUUCGACACGAGGGCGUCCCCCAUGGAACCAAAUAGUUUCAGGCUGGUGCCAGUAUUGGUUCAUCACUCGGAAAAGCGACGCGACGCGACGGACGGACGGACGGACGACCGACCGCGGGCGAGGGAGGACGGCGGCGGCGGGCGGCAAAUCGAAUCGAAUCGCUCGAAUCGCACUCGGCGCACCUUUUCCCUCGCGCGCUUCUCCCGCGCCCUCCUCUGUCCCUCCUUCACGCUCGCCUUGUGCGCUUCCUUGCGCCGCGCGUCGCUCCACGCGAUGUCGCCGAGGUACGCGAGCGGGUCCGCCGCGUCGUCGUCGUCGUCCCACGACGUCGGCGCGGACGCGGACGUCGCCUUCGGGCAGUCCCUCGCGAGGUGCCCGGGCGCGUGACAUCGGAAGCACGCGCGCGUCUCCGUCGUCGUCGGCGACGACGACGACGACGACCAGCGGGGCGCGCUCGACCGCGCGACCGCGCGCGUCGUCGUCGUCGACGACGACGUCGCGAGCGCGUCGCGCCGAGCGGCGCGCGGCGCCGCGCGCGCGGUCGCGCGGCGGUGCGACGUCGUCAGCGUCGAGAACGCGGCCGCGCGCGCGUUCGCCGCCGCCGACGACGCGAUGAUUAGUGGGGGACGUCGAAUCAUCGUCGUCAACGCGAACGACGACGACGAGGACUCGAGAGCGCGAGCCGCCGCGGCGAGCGCCGCGGAGGCGAGCGCGCGUCUCGUCUGGAUGUUGCCCCGCGCGCGACUGGGGUGCCGCGACGAGCUUCCGGUCGCUGCGGCGGUGCGCGGGCUCCGUGUGAUGACCUAGAGUUGCGAAUUUUCCUCGGUUCGUCCAGUCGUCCGCGUCCGCCGACCGCGCGACCGCGCCGGUGCCGAGUACAGGUAGUGAUGUUUGUCGAGAGCUCGGGAAAAGGGCGCGCGAUCGGCGCCGCCGUCGCACACGCGCGAGCGGUGGCUCGACGCGAGCGCGCGGGCUCGCAUCGGACACCCGCGGGACGCGUUCGGCGAUCGGAGGGGGAUCCCUCGGGGGAGGAUACCCCCGGGGGAGGCACCCGCUGGGGCGGGGCGAGACGUCACAAAUUCAAAUCUGAGCGAGCCGAGAAGUCGUCGUCGCUUUCCGCGCGCGUCGUCCAUCGUCUGGGCCGAGCGGAGCUGGCUCGGGAGCACGGCACCAUGACGCGUCCCGGCGCGCGCGGCGGCGACGGCGACCCUCCGACGCCGUCCACGCGCUACGCCGGCGUCGUCGACCCCGCGUACGCGUCGUCCGACGACGACGACGACGCGUUCACGCCGCCCCUCCGCCCGCCGUUCGUCGCGUCCGACGGAUCGCCGUCGACGUCCGCCUCGCCGACGCGGCCGCCGCGCGAGGUCGUCGCGCGGCGCUCCGUCGCGUGGGACGCGGACCUGGAGCGGUACGAGCCCGUGGAGUCGUCCUCCGCGCCGCCGCCGCCGCCGAUCCUGAAGCCGUCGCGCGGCGGAUGCGGCGGCGUCCUCGACGCGCUGUCGCCGCGGAAGCGACGCGAGCGACGCGAGGCGCGCGAGCGCGACGAGACGCGACGCCGCGACGCGUCCGCCGCGUCGGACGCGGCGACGCGCGCGGCCGUCGACGCCGCCGCGCGGUUCGACGAGAACGUCCCGCUGCCGGGCGAGGCGUUGCGGGGCGACGAGGAGGAGUUCUACGGCGGCGGAGCGGGGGGCGACGAGGAGGAGGAGGACGACAGCUGGCGUCGCGGCGUCGUCGGCGUCGGCGGGCGCGUCCGCGCGACGGCGACGACGACGUCCGCGCCGACGGCUUCGAUCGACGCGUCGCGCCGAGUCGCGGAGGAGGACGCGCUCGCGGCGCUGCGCGCGGCGUACGCCGCGGAGGAGGACGACCGACCGUCCACGAGCGCGGCGGCGCGAUUCUUCGCCGCGGACGUCGGCGACGGCGACGCGACGCGUUUCGAAUCCUACCCGGGGAUGGCGAAGUCCACCGUGGACGCGAUAUUAUACGGCAACGCGCUCGCGGGCGGCGAAGAGGAAGACGCCGAGGAGGAAGGCGCCGGAAGAAGAGUAGACGCGACGCGCGCGCGCGACGCGCGACGCGAAGAGCGGCGCCGGCGCCGCGAGCGCGAGCGCGAGGAAAACGCUGAGGAAGACGCCGGCGGCGGCCGAAAACCGCCGAACGACGACGCCGUCGUCGCGCCGUUCACCGUCGCCGUCGCGGACGCGGAGCUCAGCGCCGGCGCGCGCCCGGGGAUCGCGCUCGAGAUCGGCGACGACGUCGCGAGGAUGAAGCACGCGCUGGAGAACGUCGGCGCGGCGCGAGAGGCGCACCUCGCGGAGAUGCGAUCGUUUUUAUCGCGCGACGGCGGCGACCGCGGCGGCGGCGGCGGCGGCGGACGCGUGACCCUCGCGCCCGGCGCGACCUCGAUCCUCCCCCCGGGGAGCCCGUCCGCGUCCGUCGCGGAAGAGGCCGCGGAGGCGACCGCGCGCAUCGCGAUGAACGCCGCGCGCGUCGAGGAGACGGCGACGUACGCGAACCGGUUGGUCGCGGCGGCGAUCGAGCCGUCGCCGCCGCCGGCGGAUUGGCGCGCGACGAUGCAGCCGCAGUGGGCGUCCGAGGACGAGUGGACGUCCCCGCCGCCGACGCCGACGCCGAUCCCGAUCCCGAUCCCGUCGCCGAAGAUCGCCGUGGCGUCGUCGCCGCGGUCGUCCGCGGCGUUGGAGGCUGCCGCGAGCGCGGCGAGCGGCGCGACGCGACGCGCGACGGCGGACGCCGCGGCGGACGGCGACGAAGAGAUGCUCGAGGUGUUGCGCGUUCUCGAGGGCGUGACGACGACCGCGAGCGAGAUCGCGCGCGGCGGCGGCGGCGGCGCCAGACCCCGCGCGCGGGCCGCGCUGACGUUCGAUUGGAAUUGGAACGCGGACGCCGCGGACGCCGCGGACGCCGCGGACGACGGGAUCGAUCGCGCGCCGAGAGGGGACCUCGCCGUCGCGAUGGGUUUGCCGCGAUUCGAUCCGACGCGGAGAAGAGAGGUCACAUUCGGCCCGUCGUCGCGUCCGUCCGCGGCCGCCGCGCGCCGCGCGUGGGAGCCGCCGCGCGUGGGGUUCGGCAGCGCGACGACGCGCGAGGGCGAGCCCAGACGUGCGGGGAGGGGCGGGGACGCCGCGCGAGCGGUAGGCGGCGCCGUGCGUUGGCGCGGCGGCCCGCCGGAGCCAACGUCGGCGCCAGAGGCGUCGCGCGCGUCGGCGUCGGCGUCGGCGUCGACGUCGCCGCGCGCGAAAGAGAAAAGGAAGGAAGACUACUCGCACGUCGGGAGUAAGCUCAAGGAGCAGUGGGAGGCGUGGCGCGCGGGCACGGACGAGGGCGUCGCGGAGGAGAAGCGACGCGCGGAGAAGAUAAAACUCCGCGCGGGGCUUCGAGGGGUGCUCGUCGAUAUUCACGCCGCGACGACGGCGAUGGAGGCGGCGACGGCGGCGGAGUCGCCCACGGUGACGCAUUCGUCCGAGGAGAGCGUCUCCGAGGGGGACGACGCCCCGAAGCGGCGGCGAGCCGCGUUGGCCGUCAUCGAGAAGAACGCGCCGCCGCCCGCGUCGGUCGAGACGGCGACGGACGAGGAGGCGAGACGACGGGAAGAGAAGAAGAAACUGCGCGCGGGGCUCGUGGACAUGCUCGCCGACUUGCAGCGCGCGCGCGUGGACACCGCGGCGGGGACGUCCGAUGACGUGUCUCCCGCGACGAAACGCCGCGAAGAGAAGCGGAAACUGCGAGAGAGCCUGGAAGACAUGCUGUCGGACGUGCGCCGCGCGAAGGAACCGCCGUCGCCGCCGCUCCCGUCGCCGCCGGCGGCGCUCCCGGCGUCGCUUCCGGUCGCCCCCGCGGCGACGCUUCCCGCCGCGACGCCGACGCCGCUCGUCGUCGCGCGCGGCACGCGCGCGCGAAGCGCCGUCGCCGUCUCCGACGCCGCCGUCGGCACCGUAUCGUCGUCGCACGCGGCCGCGCAAACGUCCACGGCGGCGGCGGUGGAACUCGACGACGACGACGACGACGACGACGACGACGACGACGGCUCCGUCGCGUCCGACCGCGACGAUCUCCUCAUGACGACCGCGGGGGCGUACCAAGUCUUAGGGUACACCGAACGCGGAGAUCUCACGGAAGAGACCGGGACGCAGACGCUGUCGGCGCCGCCGCCGCCCGCGGACGAAGCGAAAGAGGAGGAGGCGAGGUUCGAACGCGAAGCCGCGGCGAUCGCGCGCGAGCUCGUGUCCGGCGCCGCGCGCGCCGCCGACGCCGACGACGCGUCGCCGUCGCCAUCGUGGCUUCGCCUGCAGCUCCGAGCCGUGCGCGUGCUCGCGCGCGCGCGCGAGGAGACGCACCGCGAGCGCGUCGCGGCGAUGUGCGAGCGUUUCCGCGACGCGGACGCGCGGCUGCGGGAGCAGGCGCGUUCUAUACACUGGUCCCCAUACGACCGCGUCGGCGAUGUGAACGCCGAUCCUUAAGGACUUUGCCGUCGUCUCUCUCCGCCCACCCCUCGCUUUCAAUGCCCGCCCUCGACGCCUUUCAACUCCCUCUGACGCCUUUCAACUCCACCCCGACGUUCGCUCAGGAGUACCUCUUGUCUUUCUCCGCCGCGUCGCGGGAUAUCCGCCGCGCGAGAGCGACGGAGGCGAAGCGCGAUAAGGCGGCGGCGCGCGGGAAGAAGUGGGCGCCGCCCGGGGGAGGCAAGGCUGCGUUCGCCGGCGGCGGCCGCGGCGGGAAGAGCCACAGCGUGCACGUCUCGAGAGGCGCGGGGCCCGAUGCGGCGACCUGGGAGGCGGCGACGAAACCGGCGGCGGCGGGGAGAGGAAAAAGUAAAAUCGCCCCCGGGAGCGCCGGCGCUCGCGGUCGCGACGGUCCGAACCUCGCGGACGACCCGUGGGAAGGCUCGGAGUUUAAGCGUCAGAUGCUGAUCACGCUGUCGAGUAAGCUUCUGAUGAAGACCGCGCUCACGGCGUUCGCGGCCGCCGCGCAGGGCGCGCGGGAUGUGCGGACGAACGUCCGAAGGGUGUGGGUGAAGAACCGCGCGAAGCUUUUGGUCGCGUGCCUCGACGCGUUGAAAGAAAACGCGCGCAUCGCUGCCGUUUUCGAAUCCAAAGCCUCCACCGUCGCGGCAGAACGCCUGAGAAAACACGCGAGAGCUGGGCUCAAGCGCUGGCGAUUCAUCGCGGGCAGGGACGCGGAAGAGAAGAAGCGAAACGCGCUCGCGGACGCGGCGUACGGUCGCAGAGCCGCGGGCGCGGCGUUUUCGCAGUGGCGCGCCGCGCGCGUCGCGACCGACAUCGACGCGCACGUAACGUCCCUCGCGCGUACGUUUCGCGACAAACGCCUCGCCGUCGCGGCUCUCCACGCGUGGGCGAUGCAGACGAAAUCGGAAGACGUCUAUUACGCGCGCGCGAGCGAGAACUACGCGUUCGCGAGGGCGCGCGCGUUCAAAGACUCCUUCCUCGCCGGUCGCCGCGCGCGCGCGUGGCAAAUCAACGAGAUGCCCGAUCGAGCCGCGCGCGACGCCGCGAUGGACGCAUUCGUCGACGCUUACCGCGCGUGGUCGCGGUCGCGAGGGGCGCUUCAGGCGUGGAUCAUCGCGUGGCGCGCGACGAAGGACGCGCGCGGCGCGACGACGCGCGGCGCGGACGCCAUCGCGCGCGUCGUCGCCGAGUGCGACGGCAGCCGACGAAGAGCCGCCGCGCGCGACGCGUCGGCGACGCUCCGAGCGCUUCUGUCGCGGCGGCGGUACGUCGCCUCGGACGCGGACGUUCGGUGGGUCUCGCUCGCGAUCGCGCACAUGCGGCGCGCGCGCGAGGAGGAGACGAACGAGACGGCGUGGGAACGCGCGCGCGAGACGGAGACGGAGACGACGCGCGCGAACGACGAUCGCGACGACGCCGCCGCCGCGGACGCCGCCGCGUGGUCGAAGAAGUGGUGGUCGAGCACGCGCCCGCCCCGGGACCCGGACGCCGCGCCGGCGACGAAGACGCAGCGCGACGCCGCGGCGGCGAAGGUGUUCGACGACCCGGGGGUGCCGGACGACGACGACGGCGACGGCGACGACGCGACGGAGAGGGGAACGAAGAGCGCGAACGAAGAAGAAGACGCGGCGCGAAUCGACGUCGACGCGUCCGUCGUCGCGACGGACGCCGUCGUCGUCGCCGCCGACGCGCUCGCGCACACCGCGUCGUCCGCGUCCGUCGCGCACGCGGCGGCCGUCUCCGAGCGUCGCGUCGCCGCGGACGCCGCGCGACGCCGCGCCGCGGACGUCGCCGCGGAGACCGCGCAGACCAAGCUCGUCAUCGCGCGCGAACGCGCGGAGAUGGAGGCGUGGACCGUCGCCGGCGGCGACGCCGCGGUGUUUUCCGCGCUCGACGCCGAGUCGAGAUGGGUCGCGUCGGACGCGGCGGGCGCGUCGUCGUCGUCCGCCGCGGCCGCCGCCGCGAGAGAAGCCGAGGCGAACGCGAAAGACGCGGACGCGGACGCGUCGACGGCCGCGAACCUCGCGUCCGUCGCGACGGACAUCGCGUCGUUCGCGAGGGACGCGGCGAAGGCGACGGCGACGGCGGCGGCGGCGGCGGCGGCGGCGGCGCGGACGGCGGCGGCGGCGGACGCGGCGGCGCGUCUUUCGCGCGCGAGCGUGAACGCGUCGCGCGAGGUCGUCGCGGAGGCGGCGGCGGAGGCGGCGGCGAACGACGACGACGACGACGACGCGUCGGCGUCGGCGUCGAUCGCGAAGCUUCGAGAGCGAUGCGAGCGCGCGGAACGCGACGCGACGGACGAUGCCGCGGCGCUCGCGGCGGCCGCGGAGGCGUCCGCCGCUUUCAACGCCGCCUCGGACCGCGCGUCCGCUCGCCACGACGUCGUCCGCGUCGCGAUCGACGCGCUCGAGACCGCGCGCGCCGCGGUCAAGGCGUCCGCCGCGUGGCGCGACGACGCGACGCGACGCGUCGCGAACGCCGACGCGGAGGCGGCGGCGGCCGUCGCGGAGGCGGCGGGCGCGGAGGCGCGAGAGGCGUUUUGGUCCGAAAAGUACCGCGACGCCGUCGUCGACGCGGAGGACGCUAAAAACGAUNNNNNNNNNNNNNNNNNNNNNNNNNNNNNNNNNNNNNNNNNNNNNNNNNNNNNNNNNNNNNNNNNNNNNNNNNNNNNNNNNNNNNNNNNNNNNNNNNNNNCGCGCACUCAGCCUCGGCCUCCGUCGCGACCGCGAGCCGCCACGCCGGGUCGGAGGAGAGUUCGCCGCCGCGCAUCGCGGCUUCGUGCGCGAUUUCCACGUGCGCUCGCGCCGCCUCAGACGCGGCUUCUGCCCUCGAAACGCACCCGUCGCGUCGAGUUUUCGCCGCCGCCGCGGAAGACGCGGAGAUGGCUGCGAACGACCAGCACGCGCUCGAUUACGUCGCGAUCGCGCGCGAUACCGCGCGCGCGGCCGAGGCUGAAGCGGCGGCGGCGAAAACUCGACGCGACGGGUGCGUUUCGAGGGCAGAAGCCGCGUCCGAGGCGGCGCGAGCGCACGUGGAAAUCGCGCACGAAGCCGCGAUGCGCGGCGGCGAACUCUCCUCCGACCCGGCGUGGCGGCUCGCGGUCGCGACGGAGGCCGAGGCUGAGUGCGCGCGCGCGGAGUUUGAUCUCAUCGAAGCGAACGCCGCCGCCGCGGUCGCGUCCGAUGAACUCCAUCGAAGAGAGAGCUCGGUCAACGCCGCGAACGCGAGCGCGUUCGCCGCCGCGGAGGAGGAGACGACGCGCGGGAACAGCCUCCGCGACGCGGCAAUCGCGGCGAAACGCGAAUUCGAAGACGCGGAGAAAGCCGCGACGCGCGCGGAGAACGACGCGGUGCUCAUGUCCGGCGGCGACGUCGCCGCGCUGCGCGCGGAGCGCGCGGAGUCGACCGCGCGCCACGUCGCGGAGUCGCGGCAGGCGUUGCUGGACGCGAAGCGGCACGCGGAGCGACGACGCACGCGCGCGGAGGAGGCGACGCGCGCGGCGCGAAAAACGCGCGCGGAACACGCGGACGUCUCGAAAGCGGCCAACACCGCGCGCGAUCGCCUCGCCGCAGCCGCGGACGCCGCGAGGAAACUCGUCCGCGCGUCUGUUACCGCCGCGAGCCGCGCGGACGCGGCGUCGCUCGCCGCGGCGCGCGCGCGCGACGCGACGCGCGCGGGCGCGCGGUGGAAAAAGGCGGCGGAGGUUUUGAAACGACGCGCGUCGAAAGCGCGCGAGCUCGCCGCCGUCGCGAGAGACCGCGCGACGUACGCCGCGUCCGACGCGCGGCUCGCCGCGGGCGCGGGUGGCAACCGCGACGAGGCCCGCAGAGCGUCGUGCGCCGCCGCGGACGCCGCGGAAGACGCGACGAAGGCCGCCGCGAGGGCGCGCGCGAUCGAGGACGCGACGCGCGACGCGCGGCUCGUCGCCGCCGCCGCCGACGCGCUCGCGUCGACGACGCGCGAGGACGCGGCGACGCAUCUCGAAGCGAGCGACGUCGCGACCGCGUCCGAGGACGCCGCGAUCAAGGAGCUGGAAGCGCUCGUCGCGGGGGUGACGCGCGCGGCGGCGGCGGCGGAGACGUUCGUCGCGCGCGCCGCGGAGACGGAAGCGGCGGCGCUCGCCGCGGAGGCGGAGGCGGCGGCGGCGUUGAAAGCGACGGCGCUGACCGCCGCGGAGGCUGAAGCCUCCGCGCUGGAGGGCGAGAAGAAGAUCCUCGAAGCGAAAGCCGAGAUCGCGGCGAAAGCGCGCGAGGCGUCCGCCGCGGAAGCGCGGCGAAGGGUCGAGCGCGCGCGCGCGGCGGCGGCGGACGAGGCGAAAGCCGCGGCGGAUUUCGAAUCUCGCAUGCGGUGCGUUCUACACACUGGUCCCCAUACGACCGCGUUCGCGUGGUGAACGCCGAUCCUUAAGGACUUUGCCCGGCGCAUCUCUCCGCCCACCCAUCGCUUUCAACCCCCGAACUCGACGCCUUUCAACGCCACCUGACGCCUUUCAACUCCACCCCGACGUUCGCUCGUAUGGAACGACCCUGAGACGCGAACGCGCCGAGCUCGAACGCCUCCGCGCGGUCGAGGACGCCGCGGCGACCAAGGCGGCGACGGAGCGCGAGAACGCGCGCCGCGCGCUCGAGCGCGAGCUCGAGCGCCGGCGAGAGGUGGACGCCGCGCGAGCGCUCGUGGAAGCGCACGAGGCGGAGACGACCCGGCGCGCGGAACUCGCCGCGCUCGCCGACGCGCGCGAGAAGGACUUGCACGCCGUCGAGGACGCCGCCGCCGCCGCGCUCGCUGCCGUGCAGCUCGCGGAGGCCAAGUCGAUCGCGGAAGCGCGCGUGAGAGCCGCGGAGGACGCGUCCGCGGCGGCGUCGAGAGCGCGCGAGGAGACCGCGGCGGCGGCGGCCGAGGCGGCGGCGAGCGCGGCGGCGGCGGCGGCGGCGGCGCGCGCCGCGGAAGCCGAGCGCGAGGCUCGCGAGGCGGACGUCGCGGAGGAGGAGCGAGAGCAGCUCGCGGCCGUGGAGAUUAUUCGACUGAAGCGCGUCGCGGAAGAGCGCGUGGCGAGGGCGACCGCGGACGCGCGCGAGGCGAUCCGGGUCGAGCGCGAGACGCGAGAGGCGGUGGAGCGCGCGACCGCGGACGCGGCGAAUGCGGCGGCGCGCGAGCGAAGGCUUCGCGACGCGUCCGAAGCCGCGGCGGCGGCGGCGAACGAGCUCGACGUCGAGCGCCCGCGAGCGCGGAUGAACGAGGCGAACGCGCAGGCGGAGAUGGCGCGAGCGGAGGCGGACGCCGCCGCCGCGGCGGCGGCGACGGCGGCGGCGGCGCUUUGCCCGAGUCCGCCGCCGCAACCCCCCGCGCCCGCCGCUUCGGCGUCGGCGUCGCCGGCGCCGGCGCCGGCGAUCGCGUCGCCGCCGAUGCGAACGUCGUCGUCCGCUUCCAUCGGCGGCGUCGGGACCUCGCCGCCGCGCACGCCGACGCCGGAGACGAUCUUCGCGAAGGCUGCGGCGGACGACGCGGCGAACGCGGCCGCGGACCGCGCGGAGGUGGCGACGCGGGAGGCGACGCGCGCGACGCGCGAGUACGAGCGCACGUCCGAGGACCCGCGUUUCGCGGAGGAAUUCGAGCGCGCGAAGAAACGGCACGACGACGCGGUCGCGGCGAUCGCGAAAGAAACCGCCGAUCUGAAGGCGUUAUACGAAUCCAAAGCGGCCGCGGACGUCGCCGCCGCCGAAGCGGAAGCGCGCGCCGCGGACGCGCGCGCGAGGCAAUCCGCCGCGGAGACGGAAGCGGAACGACUCGCGCGCGUCGAGGAGGAGACGAACGACGCGCGGCGGCGGCGGACGAUUGCGAAAGUCAAAGCGAUGCACGCCGCGGACGUCUCCGAGGCGGAAUCCGAAGCGUCGCGCGCGGCGGAGACGGAACGACGCGAGCGCGCGGCGUACGCGGAGGCUGCGCGCGCCGCGGACGCGGCGAACGCGUGGGUGAACGCCUCGAAAGCCGCGGCGAGGGACGCGAAGGAACAGGAGAAGCUCGCCGCCGCCGCCGCCGCCGCCGCCGCCGCCGCCGUCGAGACGAAGGCUGAGUGCGAACGCAAAGCCGCGGACGCGCAAAAAGAAGCGGACGCGCGCGCCGCGGCCGCGGUCGCGAACGCGACGCGCGAGGCGGAGAACGCGGUGCGCCUCGCGCGCGCGGCCGCCGCCGCGGCGAUCGACGCCGCCGUCGCCGACGCGAACGAAGCCGUGCGCGUCGCGAGAGCGACGUUGGAGACGCGCGAGAAGGAAUCCGCGGCCGCGCUCGCGCGCGCGAAGGACGACGACGCCCUCCUCGACGCGAAGCGCAGGGCGGAGAUCACGCGCGAGCGCGACGACGCGCGCGAGGCGUUGCGCGCGGCGGAGAGCGACGCGAGGGCGACCGUCGCCGAGGCGCGACGCGACGCGGAAAAGAAGUCGUCGGACGCGAAGCGUCGCGCCGAGACGGAUAAGCGCGCCACGAUCGCCGCCGCGAAGGCGGCCGCGAGAGCGCAGAUCGACGCCUCUCGCGAGGCUUUAAACGACGCGCGAAGGGAGUCGACGACGGCGGCGCGCGCGAAGACGCGCGCGAUGCGCCGCGCGGCGGACGCGGAGAGGGAGACGGAGGAGGUGCGGAAAAACGCGCGCGACGCCGAGGCGCGCGCGGAUGCGGCGGAGCGCGCGGCGGCGGCGGCGAAGGACGCCGCGCUCGCCGCGGAGCGCGACGCGGAGCGCGCCGCGCUCGAGGCGUCCGAGGCGCAGGCGGCGGCGAGUCGCGAGGUCGCGAAGCACCAGCGCGCGCUGACGCCCGAACGCGGCGGCGGCGGCGGCGGCGGGAUCGCCCCCGACCGACGACGGGACGAGCGCGCGAGCGCGGAGGUGGACGAGUGGCGCGAACGCGCGAGGCUCGCGCGCGCGGCGGCGUCGAGGGAGCGCGAGCGCGCGAAGGACGCCGCGUCGCGGGAGACCGCCGCGCGCGCGGAGGCGGCGGACCUCGGCGCGAAGGACCGCGCGAAGGUGUUGGCGAUGGAAGAGAAGGUGAAGCGUCUGAAGCGCGACGCGGCGGCGAAGGAGAAGGAGGUGCAAAAGAGAAUCGACGCCGGCGCGGCGGCGGCGGCGGCUUUCGCGGCGGACGAGGCUGCCUGUACCGCCGCGGCCGAGGCGGAAGCGCGCGCGCGCGAGGCCCACGCGUUAGAAGCGAGCGAAGCGGAGAAGGACGCCGCGGAGAGAGCCGCGGAGGAAGCGGCGUCGCGCGCGGCGGUCGCCGCGGCGGCGGCGGCGUCCUCAGCGGCGACGGAGGAGGCGCGAUCCGCCGCGAAAGCCGCCGCGGAAGACGCCGCGUCGUGGCGCCGCGAGGCGGACUUCCUCGCGAAGGAGUGGUUCGACGCGAAGACCGCCGCGAAAGCCUCGGACGCGCGCCACGAGCGCCGCGCGAACGAACUCGCGCUCGCGGCGGCGCACGCGGAGCGAGAGCGCGCGCGACUCGAGAGGGAAAACGCCGCGAACCGCGCGGAGAUUGAACGCGUCGUCGCGGACGCCGCCGCCGCGUGGGAGAUGGCCGCGGACGCCGCGCGCGCCGCGGAGGACGCGGAGAAUGCGCGCGAGAUGGCGAUCGCCGAGGAGGCGACGCGCGCCGCGGAGGCGAAUUCGCGCGCGGAGGAGGCGCUACGCGCGGCGGAGGCGCACGACCGGGAGGCGACGCGGCUCGACGCCGUCCGCGAGGAGGAACGCGCGAUGAUCGAGACGGCGGCGGCCAAGGCUCGCGAGGCGAUCGACGCGAUCGACGGCGCGGUCGCGGUCGCGGUGGCGAACGCGCGGAGGCUUCGAGACGCCGCGGAGGCGGCGGAGGCGGCGCGGACGCGCGCGGCGAGGGACGCGGCGACCGCGGACGUGGAGCGACGGCGCGUCGCGAACGGCGCGGAGAUUAAAAUUCGCGAGCUCGAGCGCCGCGCGCGCGAGAGCGACGAGGAGGCGUCGACGCACGCCGUAAAGCUGAGGGACGCGGAAGCUCGCGCGUCCGCCGCGGAGGCGGCGUUGAUCAAGGCGGAGAUCGCCGCCGCGGAGGCGGCGAAGAAGGCUGAGCGGGACGUCGCGAACGCGGCGCUCGCGUCCGCGUCCGCGUCCGCGGCGGCGGCGGCGCCGGCGGCGCCGGCGGCGUUGACGGCGGACAUCGGCGUGGUGACGAUGACGACGGGGACGCGCGGGCCGUCGCUGCCGUCUCGCGCGCCGCGCGACGCCGCGCGCAGAUGUCUCGCGGCGAAGCGCGCGGCGCGCGCGGCGGCGGCGACGGUCGCGCUGGCGCCGGUCGAGGAGGCCGCGGCGCCGCCGCCGCCGUCUCGGUCGCGGGCGGCGGACGACGUCGCGCGAGAGGAGGCGCGCGCCGCGGCGACGAGGCGACGGAUCGAGACGCGCGAGACGUACGCCGCGCGCGAGCGGACGCGAGCGACGACGAGGCCGAAACCGCCGGUGCCGCCGCCGCCGUCGUCGUCGUCGGGCGCGAUGAACGCUAUCGUGACGGUCGCGAGAGCGCCGUUUAAUCCGUUCGCGAGCGCGGAGCUCGACCCCCGGCGAUCCGCGGAGAUCGAACGAAGAGUCGAGGCGCGCCGCGCCGUCGGCGGGAAGCGAAAAGCCUCCGCCGCCGGCGACGGUUCGUCUUCCACCGUGACGUCAUCGCUCGCGCGCGAGUCGGCGUUCGCCGCCGCGGAAGAUGCCGCGCGUCUCGCGGAAGCGGAAGCCGCGGAGGCGGCGCACCGACGCGCGGCGAGACGCGCGGGCGCGCGCGUUCGCGCGUCGCGAGCGCGCGAUCUCUCGACGCGUCCCGAGUCCGAGCCCCCGAAUUCGCCUUCGCCUUCGACGUCCUCGCCGUCGAAGCUCCAGGAGUUGAAAGUCGCCGCCGCGAUCGCCGCCGCGGCCGAGCGCGUCGCGACGCGGCGGUCGUUCGCGGCGGAACAUUCGGACGCGGAGAAGACGAGAGCGUCGGUGCCGACGUUCUUACGCGUCGCCGCGCGCGACGACGCGGCGCGGAAAUCACGCGACGAAAUCGCGUCGAUAAAGUCCUCGGGCGGCGACGCGAACGCGAACGCGAACGCGACGCGACGGUCGUUCCCUCCGGCGCCAGCCUGGCGGCCGUCCUCGAGCGCGACAGUCGCGUCCGCGAGGGCGUCCCUGGACGCCGCGGAUGGCGCGCCGGCGAGGAGGAAGCCGGAGAUGUGGUCGUCGCUCGACCUCUCGAGACCGAAACGGCGGAAGGUCGGUCGGAGCGUGACGUUCGCGCGCGGGGCGUUCACGACGAGGAUCUCCGCGGACUUCCCGCGCGGGUUCGACGACGACAGCGACGAGGACGACGCGGUCGCGGACGCGAUCGACGACGCGGAGGCGGCGGAGUGGAACGAAGAACGACGCGCCGAGGGCGUUCUUCUCGCGCUUCGCGCCAACGUCGCGCGACGAAAAAUGAAAACCGCGCUGCACGCCGCGGCGGCGCGACACGCGCGCCGCCGCGCGCUGACGCGCGAUCUCCGGUUCUGGCACGCCACGGCGAAGAGAAACGCACUCUUACGGCGCGUUUUCACCAUCUGCGAGAAAGCCUGGCGCGCGCACGUGCGCGUCCACGGCGUGCACCUGAGCCCCGAGGACGUCCGAACGAUUUCCGUCGCGCGAGAAGGCCUCGCCGUCUGGCGCGCCGCCGCGGCGAGACGACGCCGCGCGCACGCCAAAAAAGUCGCGCUCGUCCGCGCGGAGACGUACCGACGCCUGAGCGUCUCGCGCCGGCAUCUGCUCGCGUGGCGCGCGGCGCUUCGCGCGGCGAGAGCGCGAGAGCGCGCGUACGCGACGUUCGCCGACGCGUUCGCUUCGUGGCGCGUCGAGGCGAAAACCGCCGCCGCCGUGCGAGAGGAGGCGGCUCGCGCGCGUUUCUCGCGGCUGUGGCUCGACUGGCGCGCGCGCGCGGCGACGACCGCCGCGGUCGCUCGCAUGCGCCGCCGCGCGUUGACGCGCGCGGCCGCGCCCGCGCUGCACGGCUGGCGGAUCGUCGUCCUCGCGCGCGCGCGUCGACGGCUGACGCGCGAGAUGAACGUUCUGAUCGCCGGCCGCCGCCGCAUGUGGGCCGCUUGGCGGGCCUGGUGUCUGGGUCCCGGGUGCGCGGCGCUGACGCGCGGCGCGCCGACGCCGCUGCCGCCGGAGCACGCGGACGCGCGGCGGAAGCGGUUCAAGACGACGCGCGACGCGCUGCGGGAUAUCGUCUUGCGGCCGACGCGCGAGCGAAAUUUCUCGCGACGCGUCGCGGCGGCGUGGAGACGCGCGGCGCGAGACGCGGCGCGGUGCGUUCUAUACACUGGUCCCCAUACGACCGCGUUCGCGUGGUGAACGCCGAUCCUUAAGGACUUUGCCCGGCGCAUCUCUCCGCCCACCCCUCGCUUUCAAUCCACGCCCUCGGCGCCUUUCAACUCCACCUGACGCCUAUGAACUCCACCCCGACGUUCGCUCGUAUAGGACGCGCGCGGCUUUCGCGGAAGCCGCGGAGACGAUGACGCCAGAGGACAUCACGUCGCUGCGCGGGCGGCCGCUGUCCGCGUGGCGCGCGCGCGCGGCGGAGAUCGCCGACGCGCGAGACGCCGCGCGCGCGGACGAGCGAUGGGUCGGCGGUCUGCGAGGAGAUUUGCAUCGUUCGCGAGACGACGACGACGACGUCUUCGCGGACGACGCCGUCUGGGCGCCGCCGCCGUCGCCGCCGCGCCGCGCGCGACGCGCGAACCCGCCGCUGCCGCACGUCGUCCGCGUGCCGCGGUCUUCCCCCCCUCGCGAUCGCCGCGCGACGGCGACGGCGACGGCGACGACGGGCGGCGGCGCGGGCGCGGGCGCGGGCGCGGGCGCGACGGUCGACGUCCGGGGACGGUUCGAAUUCCGAGACGUCCGCGUCGCGGCGGGCGCGUGCGCGGCGACGCACGACGGGAACAUCGCGGCGGGGAUCACGGCGUUUGAAUCCGCGCGCGGCGUGCGGUUCUUUCCGCCCACGGCCGCGGCGAGCGAGGGGGUUACUCCGCGCGAAGAGAGAGGGAGAGAGGAGGAGGAGGAGGAAGAAGAAGUGGAUGAAGAGGGAGAGGAAGAACGCGAGGAAGGAGGCGAGAUGGACGAGGAGACCGGGUUGGAUCCCAGAGACGUCGCGACGUUGUUCGCGAUGCGCGAGUCCUGGGGCGGGUAGUCGGGCGGGACGGGAGGGAUAUUUAACUGACUAGUAGUGAGCGCUAGCCGUAGCGUCGAUAGCUCUGCUGACGCGUAAAGAGCGAUUCGAUGAUGAGGACCGUGCGACGUCGCGCGCGCCCCGAUCCGCCGGGAAAGCGUCGACGACGUUUGGCGCGAAGUCAAAUUUAGCGAGCGGCUCGCGCUCCGACCGACGCGUUCGACAAUUUCGCGUUGACGCCAGGCUGGUUCGGAUACCCCCGCCAAUCGCGGGGCGCGCGGGCGCCGGACCGAUCCCACCCCCCCGCCGCCGCGAUGGUGCUCGGGAUCAAGUGGAUGCAGGGCAAGCAUCACGGGCACGCGCUCCUGGACGAGGACGGCGACCUGGACACGGAAUACAUCGACGACGAGGACGCCAAGACGGAGAAGCAGCUCGCGCGCGAGCGCGAGCGCGCGGACCGUCAAAAUAACGGGGCUGACGAAUUCGCGUCCGGGCCGCCGUCGUUCGCGUCCGACGCGUCGCACGACGCGAUGGGUUCCCCCGGGCCCAAGUCCCCGAGCGAUCACGCCGCGCGGAAGUGGCUCCGGAAGACGCAGUCGCGCCGCGGCGCGUCCAAAUCCUUCUCCCAGCCCGCGAUCUCGUACGCGGAACAGAUGCGACUCGAAGCGCUCCAAGAGUACCAAUCGCGACUCGCGGAGCCGAUGAAGCUGGACAACGAGACGCUCAUAUCCUUCGCGUCCAGAGUCGUCAUCGAGCUCGAGAUGCGGCCGUACAAGACGAUCAAGACGCUGCACAGCAAGACGUUCACGGGCGCCGAUUUCAUCGAGUGGAGCAUGACGCAGCCGGAGGUUCGAGAUCAGUGCGACGCGCUCUUCAUCGGCAACGAGCUCAUGUCCAGAGGCAUCUUCUUGCCCGUGUCCUACGGCGCCACGGAGGCGCUGUUCUACUCCCCGACGUUCAAGUCGAGCAGCGGCGUGAUGCGCCUCGUGUGCAAGAAGAAGGCGCAGAUCGUCGCCGCCGUGCUCGGCGCCGACCUGGACACGAUCGGCGAUCUCAGCUCGAAGAGGGAUUCCAACGCGUCGUCCCCGGGCGCGGGGAACUCCGCGUCGUCGUCGCCGCGGCACGGCGAGCUCAGCCGCGACGGCUCGGGGAAGAUCGACGUCGGCGACGUCAGGCGGACCGCGAGCGACCCGACCAGCGGGUCUUCGUCUUCGUCGCCGGCGGCGGCGGGCGGCGCCGGCGGCGAAUCGAAAUUUAAACUGAGACGAUGCCCCACCGUGGACGAGCGACGCGGGAACGUCUCGAGCCUCAAGGCGGUGCCCGAGGGACGGAUACUGAGGAAGUUCACGAACGCCGUCGGCGGCGGGAUCAACCGCCGCGUGUUAUCCACGAGGGCCAAGUUCGCCGCGAUCGCGCGACCGAUUCACGGGUACCUUCACACGCGUCUCGGACCGCACGUGCUGUUCGCGGCGCUGCUUCCGUUUCUUCUCCUCUGCGUCUUCCACGCGACGACGCUCGCCGCGGUCGCGGUGUUCUGGGGCGCGUCGCACGUCGCGGACGUGGACUGGAAGCAACGGAGGGACUUGGAGCGCCGCGUCCGCGCGGAGGAGCUCAAGAAGUUUCAAGGGAAGCGCGGCAACGUGAAGGUGUAUCCGGACGGCAGCGAGAGCGCGGACUGGUGGAGUUGCGUCCUGCAGUCCUUCUGGGACGGCUGGCUCGAGAUGUGGCUGAACCGGCUGCUCACGAACAUCCUCACGGACGUCCUCGAGCGCGUGAAGCCGUCGUACUUGGAGAGUUUGAAGAUCACGGAGUUUAAGCUCGGGUCGAACGCGCCCACGGUGAAGACGUCGCGGCUGUUCCCCGGGCCGGACGGGGAGACCAUCUUGGAGUGGGACAUCGUGUGGCAGACCGAGGAGAUGAGGCGCGUUCUAUCUCACACCGGUCCCCAUACGACCGCGUCGGCGUGGUGAACGCCGUUUCUUAAGGACUUUCUCUCCCGGCGCAUCUCUCCGCCCAGGGUCCCUCGCUCACAAUCCCGACACACACGCCUCGCCGCCUUUCAACUCCGCUUCUGACGCCUUUGAACUCCACCCCGAUGUCAUCGCUCGCGCGCACGGAACGACCCUCAUCAGCGUCAUCCUGAGCGCCAAGGUGGGCGGCAGCCGGUUCUCCGUGCCCGUGCCUCUGAGGGUCUUCGUCAGCAACUUGAGAGUCGCGGGGAAACUGCGGUUGGGGCUGUUUUGGACGAAGCGCAAGGGCGGGCCGUACUUGAAAGCGCUGAGGGUGUCGUUCGUGGACAUGCCCGAGCACUCGGUGUCGAUCAAGCCGAUGACGUCGUCGAUGAUCGACAUCCGCGACCUCCCGGGCUUGGACCGCACGGUGGAAAACGCGCUGAACAAGAUGUUCACGAACGUCCUCGUGGAACCGAACAUCGUGCUGUGGAACGUGGAGCGCUGGUGGUGGAACCGCGACCUGCCGAAGAUUUGCAUCGUGUGCCGCGGCCCGUGCGUCGCGUGUAAGAUGGGGAUAUCGACCGUCGCGCAGGAACUCGCGGUGCCGGGUUUGGAGCAAGACGUCAUCGACGAAGCCGCGGCGAUGCGACAGGGAAAGAGCAAGGAGGACAAGAGCCGGCUGAUGUCCGGGACGAAGAACCCAACGCUCACGCUCGCCAUCUCCAUCCACCUCGCGGAGAUCGAGACGCUGAAGGGCACGAAGCGGAAGGACUACUACGUGAAGCUGAAACGCGGCCCGAAGAAGUUCACGACGGACGGCGCCAAGGCGGCGCCGGUGGAGACGCUCGUGACGUUGAGGCGCGUAUUGGUUCCUCGCACUGGUCCCCAUACGACCGCGUUCGCGUGGUGCACGCCGAUCCUUAAGGACUUUUCCUCCCGCGUUUCUCUCCGCCUAGGGUCCCUCGGUUUCGAUCCCGACACACCUCGACGCCUUUCAACUCCACCUGACGCCUUUCAACUCCGCUUCUGACGCCUUUCAACUCCACCCCGACGUUCGCUCGUACGUGUGGUACGACCCUAAGACCCGGAGAGGAGGACCCUUCCUCGGCUCUCGAGGACGAACCCCCCGCGGCGCUGCAGAAGAGCCUCUCGAGACGCGGCGGGAAGUUUGGUCGGUCCGGGUCGUUCGGUCGGUCGCGACAUUCGCGCAACCACAGCGACGGCGGGUCUUCGCAGGACGACAGAAGCGACGACGGCAGCGACGACGGCGGCGGCGGCGGCGGCGGCUUCCAUCGCGGCGGGCGCGAGCCGCAACCCAAGGUGGUCACGAAGUGGGUCUGCCGCCCCGUGUGGGAGGAGUUCGUGCGCCUCGACGCGUACGACAAGACCGUGGACACGGUGGUGAACUUUAAAGUCUGGAGCGACGACGGCGGCGUCGUGGGCGGGAAGACGACGAUCGGCGCGGCGGCGAUUCGCGACAUUCUCGAUUACGCCGACGGCUUUCUGCACACGCUGCAGCUGCCCAUCAUACACGCGAAGAAAGGGACCGUCGUCGGGGUGUUACACAUGCGCGUGCGCGCGACCGCGACGAGCGAGGUGGUCCCGAAGAUGGUUCGAAAGAAAGGCGGCGACGACGCGGCGUCGCAGCCGGGGGUGGGGACGCAGUUCGCGUUGUCCGCGGGCGCGGGCGGCGUCGCCGCGGGCGCCGCGGGAUCCAAGGGCGGCAAGGUCUCCUCCAUGAGCAGCACGAUGCGUCGGAACAUGACGUCCGCGAUGAGCGCGAUGCCCAUCCCCACGAAGUACGUCAAGAGCGCGGCCGCGGGCGUGCGAAGCGCCGCGUUCACCGCGAUCAACAAGCCCGCGCAGAAGACCAAGUGGGCGGCGCGGAGCGUCAAGAAGGGGUGCAAGAAGCUGUGGUACGGCAAGGAGAAGUACAAGGCGAAGAAAGAGGCGAAGCUCGCGAGGGAGCUCGAGGCUGCCGAGCGCGCCGCCGGGUUCGUGGAGGCGUGGAAGAGCGUCAGGGAGCCGCACCUGUUGGGCGCGCGCGGGGUCGGGGGCAUGGCGGCGAUCAGCGAGGACGGGUCGACGGCGGCGGCGGCGACGCGUCGGGCCCGAGAGCCGCCGGCGCCGGCGCCGCCGCCGGUGGACCCGAGCACGCUCCGCGUGAACGGGCGGCUGAAUCACAGCUCGGUGAGGGAGAAGUACGGCGCGGAGGCGACGACGCCGAAGACGCCGCCGCCGCCGGAGAAGAAGGGGAAGAAGGGGAAGAAGUGAUCGAUCGAUCGUCGCGUCGGACGCCCGCCGUCGCGGCGGGUCUCCAACGAUUCGAUUCGAUGUGUUUUGUAGCGCUAAAUAAUUAUCGAUCUGAGCAUCGCAAGCGAUCGAUCGUCCCCCCGUCCUCCGCUAAGAUCUCUCCAGUCCCGCUAUGACGUCCCCUCCCCCGUUACCCGACGCGCCGCUCGCCGCUCACUGCGUCUUCCUCACGGCCGCGGGGAUGUGCUCGAGCGCCUCCAGGGCGCUGAUCGAGUUCCCUCUGACGACGACCAUCCCGAGCGGCUCCUUGUCCGAGGUGCUGUCGUCCACGCACUCGUCCAGGACGAGGUUCAAGAACUGGUCGAACCCGCGGAGGACGCCGACGACGCCGCGGUUGCCGUUGAGCUUCAGCCGAAGCUUCUUGUCCAUGUACCUGAGGGAUCGAGGGAGGGAUCAGCGGGCGCGUCGGUGGGCGGGCGGCGAGCGAGUUUUGAACCCUAAACGACAUGAAAUCGAACGACGCGACGACGCGACGAACGAUCGCGGGCGAGAUCGGAGGCGCGAACGCGCGCGCGCGCGGGGGGGGGGGGGCGCCCCCAGCGGGGACCCACUGCUUGAGUUCGGGGACGGCGACCCCCAUGUUCGCGUUCGACUGUGCGACUGCGCUUCACGCGAGGGGCCCGACGAAGUGGGCCCCCUAGUAGGGGCGGAUUUCGGAUCUUGCAGGGGGCGCUAUUGGCGCGGCGCGCGCGGCGUUUCCCGUCCGUCAGGGGCCGCCGUCUCUUCGUCUCCCAUUGUCGCCUCAACGAUGCGAACGACGACCCCCCGCGGAGAGACGGGGCACUCCAAUCGACGCGCGCGCGCCAUCAUCACCCAUGCCGACGUCCCUCAUCGCGCACGACGCGACCACCCGGGGAGGAGGCAAGCGCCCGCGCGACGCGUACGACUGCCCCGCGGACCCGAGACUGGGGCGGAUCCUCCGCGUGCNNNNNNNNNNNNNNNNNNNNNNNNNNNNNNNNNNNNNNNNNNNNNNNNNNNNNNNNNNNNNNNNNNNNNNNNNNNNNNNNNNNNNNNNNNNNNNNNNNNNNNNNNNNNNNNNNNNNNNNNNNNNNNNNNNNNNNNNNNNNNNNNNNNNNNNNNNNNNNNNNNNNNNNNNNNNNNNNNNNNNNNNNNNNNNNNNNNNNNNNNNNNNNNNNNNNNNNNNNNNNNNNNNNNNNNNNNNNNNNNNNNNNNNNNNNNNNNNNNNNNNNNNNNNNNNNNNNNNNNNNNNNNNNNNNNNNNNNNNNNNNNNNNNNNNNNNNNNNNNNNNNNNNNNNNNNNNNNNNNNNNNNNNNNNNNNNNNNNNNNNNNNNNNNNNNNNNNNNNNNNNNNNNNNNNNNNNNNNNNNNNNNNNNNNNNNNNNNNNNNNNNNNNNNNNNNNNNNNNNNNNNNNNNNNNNNNNNNNNNNNNNNNNNNNNNNNNNNNNNNNNNNNNNNNNNNNNNNNNNNNNNNNNNNNNNNNNNNNNNNNNNNNNNNNNNNNNNNNNNNNNNNNNNNNNNNNNNNNNNNNNNNNNNNNNNNNNNNNNNNNNNNNNNNNNNNNNNNNNNNNNNNGCGGCUGAAUCACAGCUCGGUGAGGGAGAAGUACGGCGCGGAGGCGACGACGCCGAAGACGCCGCCCCCCCCGGAGAAGAAGGGGAAGAAGGGGAAGAAGUGAUCGAUCGAUCGUCGCGUCGGACGCCCGCCGUCGCGGCGGGUCUCCAACGAUUCGAUUCGAUGUGUUUUGUAGCGCUAAAUAAUUAUCGAUCUGAGCAUCGCAAGCGAUCGAUCGUCCCCCCGUCCUCCGUUAAGAUCUCUCCAGUCCCGCUAUGACGUCCCCUCCCCCGUUACCGGACGCGCCGCUCGCCGCUCAUUGGGUUUUCCUCACGGCCGCGGGGAUGUGCUCGAGCGCCUCCAGGGCGCUGAUCGAGUUCCCUCUGACGACGACCAUCCCGAGCGGCUCCUUGUCCGAGGUGCUGUCGUCCACGCACUCGUCCAGGACGAGGUUCAAGAACUGGUCGAACCCGCGGAGGACGCCGAGGACGCCGCGGUUGCCGUUGAGCUUCAGCCGAAGCUUCUUGUCCAUGUCCCUGAGGGAUCGAGGGAGGGAUCAGCGGGCGCGUCGGUGGGCGGGCGGCGAGCGAGUUUUGAACCCUAAACGACAUGAAAUCGAACGACGCGACGACGCGACGAACGAUCGCGGGCGAGAUCGGAGGCGCGAACGCGCGCGCGCGCGGGGGGGGGGGGGCGCCGCGAGCGGGGACGCACUGCUUGAGUUCGGGGACGGCGACGCCCAUGUUCGCGUUCGACUGUGCGACUGCGCUUCACGCGAGGCGCCAGACGAAGUGGGCCCCGUAGUAGGGGCGGAUUUCGGAUCUUGCAGGUGGCGCUAUUGGCGCGGCGCGCGCGGCGUUUCGCGUCCGUCAGUGGCCGCCGUCUCUUCGUCUCCCAUUGUCGCCUCAACGAUGCGAACGACGACCCCGCGCGGAGAGACGGCGCACUCCAAUCGACGCGCGCGCGCCAUCAUCACCCAUGCCGACGUCCCUCAUCGCGCACGACGCGACCACCCGGCGAGGAGGCAAGCGCCCGCGCGACGCGUACGACUGCGCCGCGGACGCGAGACUGGGGCGGAUCCUCCGCGUGCGCGUGCCGUCGACGGCGCCGACGGUCCCGCCGCUGCCGCUGUGCGCGCAAAACGCGCGAUGGCUCCGAGGCGUCACGACCGAGCACGCGACGGAGACGACAACGCGAUUCGCCGGGAGGAGAAACGCGAACGGGAACGGGAACGGCGGCGUUUCGCGCGCGUCGUACGAGCGCGCGACGGGGCGGUAUUACGUGUGCCUCGGCGAGGAGCAAGACUUCACGACGAAGGAGGAGGCGAUGGCGCACUUCGACGCGACGGAGCGAUGCGGCCUCGCGGUGCCGUACGUCGCGUCGCCGCUCGACUUGGCAGCCAUGGAGCGCGACGGCGACGUGGAGUACCUCGACUUGGACCGAUACGCGCACCCCGCGCGCGCGGACGCGGAGGCGCGCGAGCGCGGCGAGGACGACGCGCGCGAGGGCGUCGUCGAGAAGGACAGAAAUAGAACCGCCGCGCGCGCGAAAACGCGAAAAAACCGCGCCGCCGCCGCCGCCGCCGCCGGUGGACAGCUGCGCGCGCUCGCGGCGGCGUGCUCCGACGAGCUCGGCGCGCUCGACGGCGUCGACAACAGCGCGAUGUCCGGGGGCUCGAACGACGGCACCGCGGCGUACGUCGCGGUGGAGCGACGCGAGCGUCCGAGCGACGCCGACGACGCCGACGACGCAAAAAAAA
rnacentral:lncRNA from 1 species